AAAAUUUCUAAAAAUUAUUAUUCCAAAUUAACUAAAAAUCAUCUCAGAGAAGAUAAGAACAUUGGAAAAUGCUCAUUGAGUGUGGUUUUUCAAAAGGUGGACAAAUCUGCAUAAUUAAGACUUGUGUGAGCCAAAAUGAAACUGGGUCAGCAGUUGGCUGUAUUGAAUUGGAAUUGCUUUUGUAUAUUUGAGAUAUAUGGAAUUCAAAUUCCUUUCUGAAUCCUUUGGUUUUUGAAGACCUUCAAUUCUGUUCUUAGGCCUCAAAUCAUUCAAAGAAAUAGGGGUUUGUUGCAGUCAAGGUAUACGGUGUGAACAGUGACUUGCUACACUUGUGUGAGUACUCGCUAGAGCAAUGUUGUAUAUUUAUGCUACAAUAAUACCAAUGCUGUCUGCAUUAAACAUAAAAAAAGUGUAAAUAAAUCAAAUUCAACUAAGGAACCGAAAUAAACUCCUGAGCACAUUUAUGUGGCUAGGAAAUCAGGGCUAGCAGGUCUGACCUGAGAUGAAUAUGGAACUGAAGUGUUAAAAUAUAUGUCCAGUUACUCCAGUUAUCUGAAGCUGGUGGAGAGGAGUGGGGGCUGCCCCUAAAUGUUACCCAUGCAAACUCAGAGGGCUUGUUUGUGCUUGAGAACUAAUGCACGUCUCUGAAAAUUCAACUAAAUUUCCUUUGCUUUUCCCGAUACCAAGUGGUUUUAGGUAAGACGAUGGGGGUUUGGGGGGCAUUAGACCCAUGGUUACCCAUAGGAAAGACAAUAAUGCAAAAUCUGGAAGUAUCCUUACUAAUAGGCAGUGAAGCCCAAAGUUCAAAUCCUUGUGUAUCAAGUCUAGUUUUUGAGUUGGAGUUCAUAAACUCUUGCAGUAAUUUCCAAUCUUAAUUGAAAUUGUAGUGUCAAAAGUUUAAUCAAUAAUUGUAGUUUAAACUAGUGAGAUGUUGGCAUGGAUGAUUUGCUUAUGAAGAUCAAUGUGUUGCUUUAUGUAAAAAGAAAGGCUAGCGGUGGCAUUCUAUAAUAAGCAUAAUGGUUACUGUCAUGCUCUGAUUUCUGACUUCAAUCUGAUGCAUCAAACUGAUCACAUCUCAUUCAGCUUGAUUAAUUCAUGAUAUUUCAAUUUGCAGGAAAUGGUGAAAGAAAAAAAGCUAAUAUUCACAUUUGAUGCAACUAAAAAGGCUCGUUUUGGUGUACUUCCUCGAUAUGCAAAGAAUGAGCUCCACAUUAAAUGGUUUGAGCUUCCAAAUUGCUUCAUAUUCCAUAAUGGUGUGCCCACUUUGCUUUCAUCUCCAUUUCAAUUCUGCAAACGACAAUCUCCUCUAAAUCUAUAAAAAAAAAACAACAAUCUCCUCUAAAGUUAUCCAGUUUCCUAGGUUCAAGUUCACCCAUAGCCUAAUAAUCAUAAUAUCUGCACAUUGAUAAAGUUUAGAUGGCAAAUCUGGUGCUGUCAACAUACUUAGCCAGUACAUGAGAAGGUUUUUUGGGGUUCUAAUGUUAAUUCCUUGUCAUUGCUCAUUGCCUAGAAUCUUAAUCAUUAACAGAACCAAUUGCAAUAAACAGGGCCAGACUAUAUCUAGGAGAACAAGAAAAAUCCCUGGGUGGAUAUGAAAUUUCUGAUAUUAGAUUGUGUAGGUUUGGACAAUAUACUAGUAGAUUUUAUACAAGAUCUCAUGACUGACAUGCCACAGAAAGCACUUUCUCAUACUACAAGAGGAUCUAGGAAAUAUUUUCUAUUAGAUACAAAGCUCAACCUUGGUUUUAGCAGUCUACAGUUGAAUAUGGCAUUGUAUCAAAGUUAUCUGAAAACAUUGUUUAUUUUCCAAAAGCUAUUCAGAUUUUUACAAUAUUUAGUAAAAAUUUGGCUGUGUGCUUCGGGAUGGGGAGCCGCAUAGCCCACUUAGAACUUUUGCAGUGUUCAUUCUGACCUUUUCCAUGGCUUCCUUGCACUAGCCAAUGCUUGGGAGGAGGAGGACGAAGUUGUUUUAAUCACCUGCCGCCUUGAAAAUCCAGAUUUAGACCUGGUUGGCAGGAAUGUUAAAGAAAAGCUUGAAAAUUUUGCAAAUGAGCUGUAAGAGUAUUGCUUUUACCAAUUUGAUGAGUAUAUUGCUGGUCUUUGUUUCUCCAAAGUGUUCCUGAUUGUUGAUAUUUCUUAUCAGGUAUGAGAUGAGAUUCAACAUGAAAACGGGUAUUGCGUCACAGAGAAAACUAUCAGCAUCUUCUGUGGAUUUUCCAAGGGUGAAUGAGAGCUACACUGGCAGGUAUGCAUGAACUCUGUUUGUCAGUAUUUUGGCAGAAUUCUGGGUUGCUGUAUGUGUAAAGAGAUACUUAAAUUCUGCUAAGAAGCCGAUAUUUAGGAGCGAAUGAGAAAUAGCCAAACAUAAUAUUAGCAUAUUUUUCAUAACCCUCUUUUAAAAUGUUUUCUCUUUUACCUUUUUUUUUUCUUUUUUCUUUUUUCAUAUGAUAUUUUGAAUGAUGGUGUAAAGUUUUCAAACUAUUGAAGGCCUGUCUGGGAUGACUUUAACCUCUGUUUUUAAUCGUAGUCAUAAAAGUAUAAAUAAUUACUUUUUUUUGUCUGGUUGAUUUUUGUUAUAUUUGAAAAGAAAAUAUUAAGGAAAAUGAUUUCUUAUAUUUGAUUUAUCAUGAAAAAAUACGAGAGAGGAUCAAAUAUACUCGUAAUCGUAUAGAAACUUAUGCAUAUUCAAAGUACCUAUUAUUAAUAUAGACAAGAAAAACAAGUGAAUGAGUUUAAGAAGCUACCCAAACAGGACUUUAAUCGCUGUACUGUAGUUUGUUCCAUUCAAUUUUCAUCUUUUUCUCUGGGUCAGCUUACAUGAGCAUUUUAUGUAUUAAUUAUCCUCCAUGCAAAUAUAGGAAACAACGAUAUGUAUAUGGAACCAUACUGGACAGCAUAGCCAUACUGGACAGCAUAGCCAAGGUGGCGGGCAUUAUCAAGUUUGAUCUGCAUGCUGAACCCGACACCGGAAAAUCAAAGCUUGAAGUUGGAGGGAACGUUCAAGGCAUUUUUGACUUGGGGGUCGGUAGAUUUGGUUCAGAAGCUGUCUUUGUCCCUCGUGAGCCCGGUAUCACCUCUGAAGAAGAUGAUGGCUACUUGAUAUUCUUCGUCCAUGACGAGAAAACCGGGUAUUUGUCUCCCUUCUCACCCUCUUGUUCUAAUCGUUUAUGAAUAUGUUGAUAGUCAUUAGCCACUAAACCAUCUAUUUGUUUAUAUUCCAAAAUUUGAGACAAGGUGAACUUGUUUGAAAACGAUUUAUGAAAACAGUUUUCUGUUAUUUAGACUGAGUACAUUUUUCCAAUUUCAAAAUAUUUUUGACAAAUUUUAGUUCUGAAAAUAAGGUGAUUUUAUGGAACAUAUAUGUUUUCAGCUAAUUUUUAUAGAGUAUUCUGAGAAACAAUUGAAAAUACAACAAAAAAGACCGUAAAUUUUUAUAUUGUUUAGUAGUGUAUAAUGUCUUUCACGGAGAAUAGGCCAAAAAAACUGUUUUUCAUAUUUGAGCUCUUAAACAGAAUUUUGUUUCUAAAAACAAUGUUUUUGAAAACAGUCUUCGAACCUUCUUAUAUUUUUCAUUCUCAUAAUGCAGAAAAUCAUACGUGAAUGUAAUCAAUGCAAAAACGAUGUCGCCCGAUCCUGUUGCCAUUGUUGAACUACCCAAUAGAGUUCCAUACGGUUUUCAUGCCUUCUUUGUCACAGAGGUGAGUAUACUUACUCCUAGCUCCGUAAAGUUUAACCUUUCAAAAAAAUAAAAUGAUAGUUUAAUAUGGUAUCAAAGUUCUUAUUAAUUAAUUGUCUCAAGAUUUAGUGUUCUACUGUUUAUUUUCUGCUUCUGACUUGAACUCGGGUUUUCUGACUCAGGAGCAACUCAAAGAACAAGCAAAACUUUGAAGAAGAAAUCAUAGACUGCCAUGUAAGGAAUGCAUGUAGCAUACAAAUAAUGUAUCCAUGUAUUUAUCAUAUCAUCUAAUGAACCGAAUCAAUAUGUUGUUAUAGUAAUAAUUAUGGCUACUUAUGAAAGGAUAUUUUUUUUUUCUUUUUUUUGAAUAAUAGCAUUAUAUAGAGUCUAUAUCAUUCUCCAAAGGUAUGGUUUUCACUUCAUUGACUUUAGCAUUCUAAAAAUUGCAUUGCAUGUAAAUUUAAGAGUGGCGGAGUUUCUAUAUUUAGAGUCUGUUUCGAAGUGAUUCUAAUUGACGCACUUCUAAUUUUUAGUACUUGUUAGAAACGUCUUUUAGAAAAAUUAUAUAUGCUAAAAAAAACAAAGAUUUUUGAAGAAUUAUUUUUCAAGUAAUUGUUCAUGAAUGAUGUCAAGUGAUUAAUCAUGUACAUUUUUAAAAAUGAUUUUUAAAAGCUUCUCAAGCACUUAUACAUUCCAUAAGAAAAUGUUUCCAAAUAUUAGAAAGCAUUUUUAACCUCUUAAAAUCGCUCCCAAUCAGGCUUUGUUUAGUUUUGAAAGGUGGGUCUCGAGUUUCAAUUUUAUGGAAUGUCUCCUCUCUUUCAAAUGCAUGGGUAUUAGAGUUAUAAUUUAGAGUAUGUUUGUCAGUGAUUUUAGAAAGCAUUUAUAAUAUUUCUAAUACUUAAAAUUUUUCGAGUGUUUAAAAUAUUAGAAACGUUUCUUAAAAUCACUAUCAAAUACAUUUGAGUUCGUUUGAUAGUAAUCUUAGGAAACAUUUUUAACAUUUUUAACACUUGAAAAUUUUUAUCAUUUGAAUAUUAAAAAGAUUAAAAACAUUUUCUAAAAUCACUACAAAUGCACUCUUAGAACUUGUUUGGUAGUGAUUAUAGGAAGCGCUUUUAAUAUUUCUAAUAUUUGAAAAUUUUUAUCAUUCAAGUGUUAGAAAUAUUAAAAAUGCUUUCCAAAAUCACUCUUAGACGCACUCUUAGAGCAUACAUGUUGAUGAUUUUACAAAAUGUUUUUAGCUCUUUUAAUACUUAAACAAUAAAAAAUUUAAAAUGUUAAAAAUAUUAGAAGCAUUUCCUAGAAUUACCACCAAACGGAAUGCUAGUUAAGGUUAUAAUGAUAAUUCCAAUUGAACCUAUUCAUGAAUAUCUAACCUACAAGUUUAGGUUGAGAGUUUACAACUUACAUUAAGUUCAUGGCCAAUUAGGGUUUAGACGGUUCUUAAAGUGUAUUAAACAAAAAGCUAAAAAAUGAAGUCUUAUGAUAAAAAGAACAAUUAUUUCAAAGUUAUAAAAUAUAAACAAUGUAUCAAAGAGUUAAAAUAUAUAAUUAGUUAUCAAGUUGAUAUAAAACGGUAAUUUUUAAAGCUACGUUUCAACUUUUUAAAGAUAUUUUAAUAAUAAAACAAAAUUAAUAAAUAAGUGUCUAAAAUUCCUAAUUAGAAUAGAUUAUUUUUAUAUAAAAAUAUUAUAUAGCAUAUCUCUUUAUGUGUUAUCAUAAUAUUAGAUUUUCUUAUAGAAAAACAAAAAUUAUUAGAAAUAUCUUUAUAAAUAUUUUAAAACAUGAGGGGAAAAAGUUAUCAGAUGAAAAUGUAUUUAUAAAAAUUAUACAAGAUGGAUAUAGGUAUGAACUAGGGAAAAGGUUAGUGAAAGUUGUGUUUUGGGCUUCCCAUCCCAACAUAAUAACAUUUUCAAAACCCAACAAUGGGAAAUAUGAGAAUCAACUUUUAAUAUGAAAAGUUUUAUCAUUUUUGUACACUCUGAGUCGACUCCAUCUUCUAUGCCCAAAUUGCCCCUUCGUUUCUCUAGCUCAGCAUCAUCCCAACCUCUAUAUCGCCCGCUCUCAUUUGGAAGCUUUCUCUCAUCUUCUUUCACUCCUGAAAACCCAAAAUCUCUCAUUUCACUUCAGAAACCCAAAUCCAAAACUCCAAGACGAUGUCAAAAUACAUCUUUCAACUCAUCUAGGAGCCAUGGGAAUCUAAGAGAAUCCGAGAAAAACGAAAUGGAGCUCGGGUGGAGAGAGUGGGUACCCGAAAACUGAAACCCUAAUCUUCAAAUGUGUCAUAGACUCACAAAUUUGUGUCUAAGAUACCUCUAUCAGCAAGAAAUAGCACCAAACAUCUCUCCUAGACCAUUAAAUCGACGAAGCCCUUGAAGAAUCAAAGGAAAUGGUGCAGAAAAUAAAGUGCGGGAGACUCUUAAAGUAUUGGGUCUCGACGAAUUGAUUGACCAAUCUUCGAUCGAUGACUGUACUUUAGGUACUACCUUAAUAGCCCUUAGGUACGACCUUAAUUACCUUAAGUACUAUCUUAACUGACCUUAGGUACUACCUUAGUUAAACUUAGAUAUUACCUGUGUGAAGCCUUAAAACUUCAUUUGUGGAUAUUACUUACUUCAUUUGUGACCUUUAGAGCAUGUCAUUUUGUGAUUAAUUAGUGUGAUCAGCUUGGUUCAACUUUGGUAUUUUGGUGACUGUACCUCAGGUAUUACCUAAGUAAAACUUGAGUAAUACCUAUCUGAAGUCUUGAAACUUCAUCUGUGGAUAUUACUUACUUCAUUUGUGACCCUUAGAGCACGUCAUUAUGUGAUUAAUUAGUGUGGUCGAUUGGUUCACCUUUGAUAUUUUGGUGAUUGUACCUUAGGUACUACCUUAAUAGCCUUACCUUAAUCUACCUUAGGUACUACCUUAACCACCUUAGAUACUACUUAAGUAAAACUUGGGUACUACCUAUCUGAAGUCUUUGAACUUCAUUUGUGGAUAUUACUUACUUCAUUUGUGACCCUUAAAGCACGUCAUUAUGUGAUUAAUUAGUGUGGUCAAUUGGCUCACCUUUGAUAUUUUGGUGACUAUACCUUAGGUACUACUUUAAUCUCCUUAGGUACUACCUUAACCAAUAUUAGGUACUACCUUAGUUAAGCUCAUUCAAUUGUCUAGGAGCCGGUUGGUGUCCUUUUCAAUUUUAGACAUAAAACCGAUCGACCAGUUACCCCUUCCGGGUCGAGAAUGAAGUAAGUAAUAUCCACAAAUGAGGUUACGAGGCUUCAGAUAUGUAGUACCCAAGUUUUACUUAAUUAGUACCUAGGUCGAUUAAGGUAGUACUUAAGGUAUAUUAAGGUAGUACCUUAAGGCUAUUAAAGUGGUACCUAAGGUAUAGUUACCAAAAUACAAAGGGUGAACCAAUUGACUACACUAAUUAAUCACAUAAUGACGUGCUCUAAAGGUCACAAAUGAAGUAAGUAAUAUCCACAAAUGAAGUUCUGAGACUUCAGAUAGGUAGUACUCAAGUUUUACUUAGGUAGUACCUAAGGUCGAUUAAGGUAGUAUUUUAAGGCUAUUAAGGUAGUACUUAAAGUACAUUUACCAAAAUAUCAAAGUUAAACCAACUGAUCACACUAAUUAAUCACAAAAUAACAUGUUCUAAAGGUCACAAAUAAAGUAAGUAAUAUCCACAAAUGAAGUUUUGAGGCUUUACACAGGUAAUACCUAAGUUUAACUAAGGUAUUACCUAAGGUCAGUUAAGGUGGUACUUAAGGUAGAUUAAGGUCGUACCUAAGGGCUAUUAAGAUAGUACCUCAGGUAUAGUCACCGGUCGAGGUCCAAUCGAGGAUCGGUCGACCGGUUUGUCGGGACACAAUACUUUAAGAGUCUUCCGUGCUUCAUUUUAUGCAUCAUUUCCUCUAGUUCUUCAAGGGCUUCACCGAUUUAAUGGUCUAUGAGAGAUGUUUGGUGUUAUUUAUUGUUGAUAAAGCUAUCUUGGACACGGAUUUGCGAGUCAAGGACACAUUUGGAGGUUAGGGUAUCAAUUUUUGGGUAUCCGGCCAUUCUCUCCACCCGAGCUCCAUUUCAUUUUUCCCAGAUUUUCUUGGACUCCCAUGACUCCUAGACGAGCCUAAAGGAGCAUUUUGACACCGUCUUGGAGUUUUGGAUUUGGAUUUCUAAACUGAAAUUAGAGAUUUUAGGUUUUCAGGAAUGAAAAAAGAUGAGAGAAAGCUUCCAAAUGAGAGAGGGUGAUAUGGAGGUUAAAAUGAUGUUGAGGAUGCUAAGUUGGAGAAACGAAGGGGCAAUUUAGGCACAACAAAUGGAGCCGACUCAGAAUACACAAAAAUGAUAAAACUUUUGAUGUUAAAAGUUAAUUCUCAUAUUUCCCAUUGUUGGGUUUCAAAAAUGCUAUUACGUUGGGAUGGGAAGCCCAGAGCACAACUUUCCCAAAAGGUUUUCAAAUGAAAAUGUAUUUAUAAAGAUUAUUUUUUUUAAAAAAAACACUAUCCUACAAAAUAAAAUACUAGCAUCUUUUGAAAUUAGGAUUUAAAUUGGAUUAAGAAUAUAUUUCAUCAAAUUUUCUAUCCAAAGUGCUUUUAAUGAAAGCAUUUAAAAAAAAAAAUUGAAAAAAAUUACCCAUCAAAUAUUUUUCUUAUAAGCACUUGGCAUGAUUUUUUAACUUUUCAAAAUUUCUUUAUAAAUUUUGUCUAGUUUCCCUUUAAAAGUCAAGUUUCUUAUAAACAAUUAGAGAUCAUUUAAAAGUCAAAUGAUAAUUUUUAUCCAUAAAUCAAAUUCACAUAAUCUAAGUAAAUUAAGCGUCUUGGACCUUGGUACCCAAAUAUUCUUAAAAUGCCCUUUAAUCUUAUUUUCAAAUAUUUGCUUGUAUUCUUCAAAAUUUGAAAAAUCCUCUUUAUAAAUUUUUAUCCAUAAAUAAUAUCUCCACACCACAGUAAAAUUGCAUGAAUUCAAAUCAUUUUUCUUAAAAAAAUUUAAAAAUAAAAAAUAAAAAGUUCAAAAAUUGAUCAGCAUCCCUCAAAAUGCCUAGUAUCAACCUGGCAUGAAACUAUGGUUUCCUCAACCACUGCAAUAAAGCUUGCAAAAGGGAGCACCAAAUUUUCACAAAUUCCAUGCAUACAUUCAGAUUACUAAAUAUUUCAUCAUUGGGAUGGUCUUAAUAAACUUCGUGGCUCUUUCCAAGUUGCCUUUGCCUGGGUUUGUUGUCUUAUGGUUCACUCUGGUGGUAGGUAUAACACAUUUCACUAUUUUCUUAGAUGGUUCACACCCUAUUUCACUUAAACCCCCUUGUGGCUUGAGGUUGUGAUAUGGAGCCUGGUUCUUAUUCUAAAUGUUAUGAUCAUUGAAAACCCAAUGAAUGGUGAAAUGCAUCAAAUUAAAGCCAUGAAUUUCGAGCAUGAUUCAGUAUGUUUCUGGGUUACCAGACUUUGAUAGGUGGAAGGUAGUAAAUUUGAAAGGAAUGGAUGUGCCUUUCCACAAUGUCAGAAGUUUAAGUUGAAUGAAAUAUUUCAAAAGCACAGCAGGUAUUGCAUUUCCCAAUUUGUAUGUUUUCUAGUUGCAGAUCUUUUUCACUCAUGGAUCCAAUUUUGUCGAAUGUUCCAUAGAGACAUGUAUGAGCAUGAUAGUCUCCAUUUAGUUACACAGAAGAAAAUGUUCUUUUCAUUUUAACUUGGACAGCAUGGCUGGAAUUGCAUGCAAAUGGUGGUUUGUUUGCAACAUAUAAAGCUAUAAGAUUGUGAGUUGAAUUUGCUCAAUACACCGACUUGUGUGAAGCUGAUCUUUGGUUUACUUCCCAAGGGAUCCAUGGGUGUGAAGUUAGUUUCAUAGAUUCUAGUCUAUUCAGCUUGGAUGCAAACUGUGUUAUUUAUUCAGGCUGGUCCUUUAGAAUAUUGAUGACAGACUACAUAGCUUCAGAGUAAAGGAUUUGUCCGACAUUCUUAGCCAAAUAAAAGCAUGUUGAGCUUUCUAUGUAUGAUUGAAAUCCAAUGUGUGCUAUGAUUAAAUAAUGAUCAUUACUACUCCUUAGUUCUCAUUUCAUACCUUUUGUUUCAAUGGAUCUUUAUGUAAAAGAUCUAAAAGUGAUGAGUUGAUAGGAGGAGUGCUAAGUUUGAUCUAGCGGUUACUAAGUUUGAGUAUCUUAAAAUGGUAAAAUUGUUACUUUGGUAGGUCUCAAAGAAUCAGGGAAACAGCUCUGAAUUUUUAUCUGUUUUUUAUGGGAAUUGUUUUGCUCCUCUUUUAAUGUCUUUAUGGUUGAUAUGUAUGUGUUUUGGGAUUGUGGUUGAAUCUAAUUUAAAUCCAAACACAUGAUUUACAAUUAUCAUGUAGUUACUGAAACCACAUGCUUUCUUUUUUUAAUUAAUGAUUGAUUAUUGUUUGUUGUAUGUCACUGUAGCAUUAUAACUCUUGACUUGUGAAAGAAAAGCUCAUUUAUGUUGUGCAAAAGUUUCUUAGUACCCAGAUUCUUUUUUAAUUCUGUUUCUUUUAUUUCUCCACUGACAAAGCUAUCUGUAUGCAGACAAAUCCUAAGCACAAAUGCCAUGUAUUUCUCUCAAGAGGGACAAAAAUCUAUAGAUUGUUGAAGUUCCACAACUCGAUAAGUCAUAGUAUAGCACAGGAUAUUUCUUUAGCUCCAUAUUUAUCUACCAAAAGACUCAUCUUUGCCUACCAAAUAUGAGAAAUUUUGAUAUAUGAUAAGAAGUUGGUCGAAGUGAUAUCAGGUUUUUGCUAAUAAAAAAGAGCUUAAAUGCAAAGAGGUCCUGUGUUGCAUCUAGCUUGUGUUCUCAAAAUUCCUGUUACAUUUUCUCUGCUUUAGGUUUUAUAAAUUAUUAUGUUCUAUUCUGCCAUGCCCCCCACAUAUACCCCUAGUUGGAUGGUUUGAUAUGCAUAGCUUAUAUCUCUUCCCUCUCUCAUGCAAUGUAGAUAAUGUUGAUCUGGGAACAGCAUGUGGCAAGUAUUUCCAGGUCUCUUGCCUGAGCAUUGUUGAUCCAGGUAAGCCUUAUAUUUCACCAUGCUGGACUGAUUUGCUUUACCAAUUAAGCAUAUGGCAAGGGUAACCAAUUGCACUUUGUUUUUUUUUUUUUUUUUAAUAUUUGUAUGUUGCAGGUGAUUCUGAUAUCAUCAAGCAAAUGCCCAGUGACCACUGAGCUGACUGUUAGAUGGGUGCUGAGGUUUAACAUUUCUCACAAACUAUAGGACAAUUUUGUUUUUUGGUACUACCAUAGACAGGAGCCUCUGUAAUUGUUGAAAUUUUUCGUCCCAUCAAAAGGGCAAAUUUGAUUUUGGUUAAAUGACAGCAGACCUUCAAAUCGCAUACGGUUUUUAGAAUCAAAAGAAAGAUAGUGUGGGAUAUCUGUGAUUGAGCUGAUGCCCUUUUCAUCCCUUGAUAAUCUGAUUUUGGUUCCUUAGAAUUGUGGGUUUUCUUUUGAUGUUUUGCAAGCUGACUUACCCUUCCAGAGUUCUCGGUUUUAGAUUCUUGUUGAAUUGAAUGUGCUGUGCUUAGUGGAAUAAAGAUAGGUUUUUGAUGGAAAUCAUCACAAUUACCAAGAGACCAUCUCCCGUUUAAAUUGUUUGGAAGUGCCUUCAUACAAAAACUUGGUGUUUUGUAAAUUUUUUUAAGUUAUUUUUAAAUAAUCUAGAGAAUCAUUUAUAGUAAAAUUUUUUACAAUUAUUCGAUAGAUAAUGCUUUCAAAAAUUACAUUUUUGUUAUAUAGUAUUAGUUUAUGUUCAAACUCCUAAUGGUUUUCUUUAAAACAUGUUGACUCAAAGAAAUGUUAACAUACCAAGUUGUUAUCACAUGUAACUCCAAUGUGUCAUUCGGGGGGAAAUGGGUGAAAUUUACCCUCAAACAAACCAUAUACAAAAUCAGCCAUUCAGUGAAAGGAGAGGAGAGUAUCAAAAACGCUUUUCAUUUUCGGACAUUUGAUUGCCAUCUGAAUUUCACAGGGAUCUUUAGCAGAAGUGAUCAUCACCCUUGCACUUUCACAUCAAAAACUUCAUACAUCUUGUAGCCAUCAACAUUGAAAUGCACCACUCCAUAUGCUUAUAUUAAAUCAAUCAAUAUAAAAAAAUCAUGAAUACUAUAAAACAAGACAAAGAACACCUGCUUUGAGAAAUGAUUCUCCUUAUUCUUCAACAAAUGGAAUGCAAAGGUUCCCUUCAGAAGUAGAACCAUAGAACUCCCUAAAGAGACAAGAAGAACAAGAAGUAGCAUGGAAACUGAUGUGAAAAAACCUGAAAUUCUUUAAACCCUAAGGCUCUGUUUGGUUCCCGAAAAAUGCGAGAGAAAGAAAAUUGGGAGGAAAAAUAGAAGGAAAGAAAAAGGUAAGGAAAAAAAUAUAAUAUUUUUCACUUGUUUGAUUAUCCAUGGAAAAUUCAAGGGAAAAAAAAAAGUAAGGAAAAAUAGAAGAAAAAUAAAAUCAACAAUUUGUCUUAAAUGGUUAUCAAUUUGUUGAAUGAUAAAAGAAAUUAAUCCAAUAAAAAAACUGUUGAUAAAUGUGAAUUUUUCAACAUAAAACAUUGCUCAUAAAAAGUCUCUACUAUUAUUUUUUUUAUUAAUAAUUAUAAGAUUUAUGUAUAAAAUUUUCCUCAUGUAAUACAAAUAAAAUAUACAAGUAAUAACUAUUUUUUAUUUUCAAGGGAACAUUUAUAGCUAAUAAAAAGCUCUUAAAAAAUUCAAAAGGAUUUUCAGAAUCAAAAUUUAAAAUUCAAAAUUAAAAAGGAUUUUCUAAAUCUAAAUUUAAAAAUAAAAAACUACUAUAUAAAAUAUACUACUUUUUAUCACAGUUUCUUCAAUACCCAUUUCAAAAGGCAUCAUUCUCUCUUUUGAUGAUCUUUUAGAUGAUCCUUGGGGACAUACCGCACUUGAAAAGUGAGGCUAUUCUUAAGGUGUUUUUGAAUACCCAUUUGAAAAUUUUGGUGGGCUUUUGUUUCAGUUUUCAACUCAGGGAAGUUCAAAGUCAAGAGGAGAGAGCACUGACUCAAGAUCAGCAGUGAACACUCUUUCAAGUAGAGCUGAGGCCCAGUUGGAAUCGGAAUCUCCUAUCAGUAUAAAGCCAAUGUCUGAUCACCUGGCUUUUGAUCAGAAGCAUCUACAGUUUCAACAACAUCAACAGUAGUUAGAGGAUGGCAAGUAAUAAUUCUAUAUUAGCAAGACCAUAAGAAUCUCAACCAGCUGCUUCUAAACCACCCCCAGAAAAAGUUCUCAAUUCUCAAACUAAAACCAAAACAGGUAUCAAAACUAAGGUAAAAGUAGCUGCAGAUUUGAUUAUCCUUAAGUUGGUUUACACAACUUCUAACAGCAGCCAGCCAUUGAAAUUAGCCAACUAUACAGAGUGCCACUCCACAACCCCAUGAUGCUAUCUAUACAAAACAUAUCACCUUAAGCACCUAAGACAAUCAAACUAAACUCUGUGCUCUAUUCGGUAGCCGCAAAAACGUAGAUAAUCAGAGAAUUCAAUAAAAGAAGAAGUCCAGAAUUUGAAAUUCAAUUUGUAAAUUAUCGAAAACUCAAGAAACAACAAGCUGGUCUAAACCAAAAAAAAGCAUAAUUUCCUCCAUUUUUCAGCUAACCAAACAAAGGAAUAAUUGAAUAACAUGCUGAAAAGAUAGAUGAAUAAAAAAAGUCUUCAUAAGUCUAAAAAUAUAAUAGAUCAAUUUCUAAUAGUCAACUAUCAUCCAUGAGUUUUGAUAUCAAAACUUCACGUAUAGCCCUAAAACAAAACUAAAACUAAAAAUAAAAAUAAUCUCCAUCUCAAAUUAGGCAUACAAAAAAGUAGGUCCAAAUUUAACUGACAACCAAAGCUUACGCUAUCAAUUGGACAAGCAAGGAAGGCUCGAGCUGCACUCACAUCACCAAUAAGAGCUUGAUAUGCUUUCAUAUGAGAUACAUCACUCAUGCCUCCAAUCUUAGCAAUCUCUUCAAACAAUUGCUCUUUUGUAUAAUUUUGAAGGUUGUUUCUAUCAAGAGCCGCAACAACUGCAUCCAUUCCAACUCUAAUUGACCUCAAUUCUUCACUUACAAUGUCAGCAUAUUUUGCUUUUCGCUUUUUUGUUUCUUUGUUUGACUUUGGUGCAGAAACAGAUGCAUCUGCAGAUGAGAAAAAUGUCUCAGUUGUUGCUUCAUUUUCAACAAAAGCAAAUGUUUCAUCUCUGAUCCCAUGUUGUGAUGAUCCUAAUGGAAUUGUGCCAUCCAAAUCUUGUUCCUGGGCCCAAUGAAGUUAUCUUUCUUUUGCACCUACAGCAAGACUUCCUGUUGCUCGAUCUUCUCCAAAAAGAAUGGACGACUUAUCAUAAUUUCUAAUAGGUUUGUAUCUGAGCUGAGAUGCUCCUGGGUGUGCCUUUUAACAUCAGAAAAAAGAAAUAUUAACAAAACUCGAGUUCAAUUCUAAUAAUGUCUAUUAGAAAUUUAUAACUAUACAUUACAUGCAAAAUUUUUAUUUAUAAUAACUCAAAAAUAAUAAUUAAGUCACCUUAGUGUAAGUAGUCCAUACUUCUGUGGUAGCUUCGAUCAUUUGAGUUGAUUCAUUGAAACGAAAUCCACUACCAUUUUGUACAACUUCUUGAGCAGCAUAAAAGUUUUUUUUUUAAAUUUUUAUUUUAUUUUUUAUGUGCUCGGAGUUACAACUCAAUUCAAAAUUUUCCCCAAUUUCUCGCGCAACCAUUGCAUAAGUUGUCUUGGUGAAGACUCCUCCUAUCUUUUGCCCUUUAUGCAUUUGCUCCAUUAAUCGAUCAACCAAAAAGUUGUCCUUUUUAUCAAUCCAAGUCAAGUUUCUUUUUUCACUUACACUUUUGUGUACUUCAAAGCCUUCACUAUGUUCCAUCUAAAAUAAUAAUACAUAUAUACAUACAUAUAUGUAUAUAUACAUAUAUAUAUAUAUAUAUGUGUGUGUGUGUGUGUGUGUGUGUGUGUGUGUGUGUGUGUGUGUGUUUAAAAUGAAAAGUCAAGAGGAGGAGAUAUAAUAAUAACUUCAUUGUGACUCAUUCAAAGUGUGAUUUUAACUAGAAGAGUUAUAGUUCUAAAUACAAUCAUCGUACUUAAUAUGAAACACAAAAAACUAUACAAGAAAAAAACCCUAAAAUAAAAGGACUCAUCAACGGUUUCUAUUGUAAUAUUUCCACAUAUCCAUGGCUAUUUUCUCCCUUAAGAUUUCUCAUUUCUUGCAUUUUUCAGCUAAACUCAAGACCAUUGAUUCAAACUCUGCUUCUUCGCUUAAAAGCUCUCUAUCGACCUCUGCUAUUAACCUUUCAUCUGGAUCAACACCCAUGAGAUAGUUAUGGAGGAUACAACAUGCUAGUAUAAUAUCAAAUUGUGUGUCAACAGGGUAAUGUGGCUCCGUCCCACUAGCUAUUAUUGGAAACCUUUUCUUCAAAAUACCAAAUGCUCUUUCAAUUGCAUUUCUCAAGGACAAGCGUCAAAGGUUGAAAACCUCUCGAGCAUUUUUUGGUUGAUGAACACUAUACUCUUUUAAAUGGUAACGAGUGCUUCUAUAUGGGGUAAGAAAUCCAGUUUUUAGCUGAAAACCCGCAUCAACCAAAUAAUAUUUACCUAAGAAGCAUAGACAAAGGAUCUUUGUUAUUAGUAAUAGUCACUUGAGCUAAUAAAUUAUUAUAUAAUCACCAAUAAUCACCUUGUGGAACAAUUAAUUUAUCAAAAUCUCUCAUUAAUGCAUUAUCUAAGAUUCUUGAGUCUGAUGCAGAUCCUUCCCAACCAAGUAAAACAUAUGUGAACUUCAAGUCAAAGGAACAUGUUGCUAAAACAUUUUGUGUUGGAUGGUACUUUCGCCCUCGAUACCUUUGUACAACAUCAUUUGACACUUUUACACAAAAAUGUGACCCAUCAAUCACCCCUAUGCAAUCCUAUAAAGAAACAAAAUUAUUAGUUUAUUUUGAAAUAUAAAUAAUAUUCUAAUGAUGUUUAUUAGAUAAGUAAGUUUACCUUAAAGUAGGGCCAAAAUUUGGUAUUGUCCUUGAUUUCUUGAGGACACUUUAAUCCAUCAGGCUGCUUUAAGAAGACAUCAUCUAAAGACAUUAUAGCUCUAAGAACUUGAUGAAAGUGACGACUAAUAGUUUCACUAGAAUGCUUGAAAUAAAAUUUCAUAGUUCUAUUCCUUAAAUUAUGACCAACAAUGUGAAGGAAUUUGGCAACUUGUUCUUCUACAUUACUAUGUGCACUAUUUCUAAUACGACUUGUUCCCCGAAGAAUGUUUACUAGUCUUGCGAAUGCAUCCUUUCCCAUUCGUAGUUGAUUAUAACAAUCUCCAUUAUCCAUUAGUGUAAGUCUUUCCAUCAAAGCAUGUCGUUCAUAAUCUCCUUCAUUAGGGAUUGAUCUCUCCAAAUAGUUUGAGUGAUGAUGAACUGAAACAAGAAUUGCUGCAUAUGCAGCAUACAUAGCAAAGGUUCAUUCGUAUCUCAAAAAUUGUUAUAGAUUUUACUUUUAAUCUAAUGGAUUUUAGAAAAUUAAUUUCGUAUGAUUAUUUGUAGGAAAAAAAAAUGAGCUACAUCUUUGGCCUCAAAGCAGGAACAAUUAACCAUUUUGAUGAGGUAUAUAGGGUAAGCCUUCAUUAUCAAUUGUCACAUUGUUCUUUAUGACAAUUAGUGUUUCCUUUUAGUUCAUUCUUAUACUAUUCCUUUAAUAUCGAAAUUGAAAAAUAAAGUACAUACUUUAUUUGGUUUGUUGUUGUACUAUAUAUUUAUGACAUUAUUCAUGUUCUAAAAUAAUGUAAGUCAAUCCAAGAUGAUUGAUCUGUAUGUUCAAGAUGCUUUAAAGGAGUGUCAUGAGUCUUUUACCGUACAAUUUACAUAUUAGUGUUGGAGUUAUCAUUCUUAAACUAACUCUUUUUUUCAACGGAAUUAUAGGUGAGAAUCAAGUUUAAUCAAACUAUGCUUGGGACUGAUUUUUACUGGAAGACAACCUCAUAUUUCAUAAUGUCACUCAUUGUUGGCAUACAAAAGCUCGAUCAUUAAACAACUUAUGAAAUAAGAGGGUGGUUGAUUAAGAGAGGAAGAAUGGAUUCAAAAAUUGAUCUCCACUUCUGGCACUUUUGGAAGCUUCAAUCAUGCCUUAAAGAACCAGUUGGUUUAUUUAAAGGUUUUGGAAUCUCCUUGCAUGUUGUGGAAGUGUAUUUAGCUUCUAAAUAGAAGUAGAAUUCAAAUCUAGUAUCAACUUUCAAUUACUACAAAUUGCCGCUCAAAUCUCCUUACAUCCUUUCUAUUAGUUGUCCUUCUAUGUUUCUUCAAUGACAACAUAAUUUUAUGUUACUUUGAUGGAAUCAUUUUCUAAUAUUUGUCUAUUUUGAGGUUGUAAUUUUUGGAUGAAACAUGAGUCGUUUAUUCUACCCUUCUUCUUUGUUGUACUUCAUCUUUCUUACAUGGACAUGCCCAAGAUUCUUGAGAAUCAUGUAAAUUUAGUGAUUGUUGUUUGUAUUUGAUAUUAAGAUUUGUUAAUAAUUCUUUUUUUCUUUCUAAUACUCGGUUUGUUUUUAUAUGCGGCUUCCCUUGGGUUUGUAAUCAAAGUGAGAUGCAUGGAAUUUUAAAAUCCAAAUCAGGAAGGAAAACCAGUCUUCUACAAUAUAUAUUUCAAUGAGAAACUAUUUUCUUUGAAGCUUUGGUACAAAUUUUUUUUUUUUUGAAAAAUUUUGAAAUUUAGUGUCUUAGAACUUAUUUUUAGAAAAUGUGAAAAACAUAGUAAAAAUAUUAGGACUAUAAUUCGAAAGGGUUGUAGUCAAUCUAAGUCUAACUCAAUCUCAUUUUUUAAAGAAAAUACUUAUCAAGUUGUCCGUAGUAAAAUCUUCAUUUUUUAAAUUUAUUCAAUAUAUUUAUAUUAAAAUUUAAAUAAUUAAGGAGACUAUUUCAAGAUAGUAAUUAAAAAUAAAAAAUAAAUUUAUAUAUCUUUUUAGAAAAAUGAGAUAGAGUAAUUACAAUUUAAUAUUAUUUUCUUAAAAUUAAAAAAUAAAUAAAAUGAAUAUUAUUAGUGUUGAGUUAUGGUAAGUCUUAUUAUACUAUACACUUUUCACCGUAACAAUCAAUCGACCUUCAUGAUGCUAACGUCAAUGGGUGUGUGGGGUUUGAGGCAUAUGCCCCAAAAGGUUGAGAUUAGGUUGCAGUAACAGGGAAAGUAUAUAGUAACAUUAGGCUACAAACAACUUAACAUAACCUAAUAUUAUUUUUUUAAGUUUAGGUUGAGAUUAGGUUGGUUGGUUGGAUUAUAAUCAAGAGGUCAAAUCGAUCAAGUCAUAUAAUUUAUAAUCCAUUCACAAUGUUUUUUUAUAUAUACAUAUAUAUUUAUACCAAAAUCUAAAUAGUAAAUUGGAUACAAUUUCAAUAUAAUAACAAAAAAGUAAAAAUAAAUUUAUAUAUCUUUAUAAAAAAUAAAAAUAUAUAUUAUAAAAUUAUAUUUAAUAUUUUUUUUCUCAAAAAUAAAAAAGAGAAUAAAUAAAAUGAAUACUUUAAUGUAAGAUUAUAUAAAUUAUAACUAAUAUAAAAAUAUUAAAUUAAAUUACUUAAAUUAUCCAAACCUUAGUCUAAAUAUUAGUCAAAUUGAGUUUGAGUUAAAAAAACUUUACUUAAACUCAACCUAUAUUAAAAAUGAUUACCCACCCUUGUCUAAAAGUAGGAUUUGUCGAACCUAUUUUUUUUUUUCUCUCUUUUAAGUUUACUUGAAAAUAACCAUAUAGCCUUGUAAUUAACUUUAUAAUGAGUUAAAUAUUUUAUAUUCUUUAAUUUUAAAAUAUAAUUGGUAUAAUUUUUGUUUUUUUAAGCAGACAACUUUCCAAGAUGUAAACCUUAUAAAAUACUUGCAUGCCAUGCAAGUCUUCCUCAUUGUUAUGAAUCAUGUCUGUGAUUCUUCUGACCAGUUUCUAUCAGACAAAUUUAUUGCUAUGUGCUGAUAGCCCAACCUACAUAUAUGCUCUCCUCAGCCUGUGCAUGCCAUCCACUAUAAGCAUAACUUUCCCUUGUUUUACAAGUGUAUAUGCUUUCAGAGAGAAUGUUUCCAACGUCACCCAACUUAAUAAAUACGAGUAUGAAUCUUUCUACCUUGAACUUUUUAAUACCUAAAGAAAUACAAUGAUAUAUAAUGCAUAACAAAUCUCUUUUGCAAUGUAGCUAAGGUUUUAUAUACAUGAAACCACACAAAAAAAAAAAAAAAAAUGCAUAGACCAUUCAAAUAAAAAAUUAUGAUAAUUAAGAUUACAUUUGAUUCUUAAAAAUAUCAUGGGAGAAAAAUAAUAUAAUAAAAAAAUCAUUAAAUAGAUUACGUAUAUUUGAUAAAAUAAUUUAAUAUUAUAUACUUAAAAUUAAAAAUAUUUUUAAGUAAUAAGUUAAAAUAAUUAAUUUAUUUUUAUCAAAUCUUUUUUAUCUCAUUUGCUGACUACGAUAAAAAUAUAUUUUACAACCAUGAUUCUACGUUCAUGAUUCAUUUUUUUUUAAUAUAAAUAUUAUCAAUUAACUUGACUAUCUAAAGUACUUUAAAUAUAGUUAUUUAAAAAAAUAAAUUUAUUAUUUAAUAUUAAGAAAAAUAAAUAUUAAUUAAAAUCAAUAAGAAUAAAUAUUAGUCAAAAUUAAUAACGGUAAUUAUGUCAAUUUUAUUAUUUAGAAUAAAUGUUAAAUUAACUUUGCCUAUCAUUAUUAAUACUUAAAAUAAAAACAAAUAAUAAAAUUUAAAUCAACAUUUAGGAAUAAUUUAACAUAAAAUCCACUUAAAUGUUUACCAAAUGCUCUUUUAGUAUAAUAAAAAAAGGGAUUUAGGAUUUAGAUAUAAAUAAAUCCUUUUUUUACUACAUGAUAAUUGGGAUUAAUCAUCACUUAUUUGCAAGCCACUUUUUGAUAUUAUAUUUUUCUGAUACAAAAUGAUAAAAAUAAAUAGAAACAAAAAACAGAAAAGAAAAAGAUGCCUUGUACAAGAUUAGUUACGGGUAUAGUACAAGUAAAUAAAUAAAUAGAUUUUAAAAAAAAUCCACCUACCAACCCAAGUUGGUUUAUAUUAUUGAAACAAUAAGUCUCAAUAUUCUAAGUAAACCAUGUGCGAGACCUCGAAAAAAUAUCUAUUGAAAACUAAUGCGUAUACAAGCAUUGCUUUUAAAGAAGUUUCCUCUCAAAAUAGAAAUUUUAUUUUAUAAACUUAUUAUUAACACAGACGAAAUUAUCUAAUUGGGAUUUUAAAUAUUAAUAUAGAAUUUUUGUUUUAAAAAAAAAAACAGUCAUCUUAAAAUAUGAAAAUUUUAAAUGAAACUUUGAAGAAUGAUAAACCUAUCAAUGAUGCAUGCAUGAUAAAUAUAUAAUGUGUAUUAAUAAAUAAAUAAUGUGUAUUAAUAAAUAAAUACCCAAUAAUAAUGUAAAGAUAAAGGUUGUAUUCCAAAAUCCCCCAAAUGGAAGCAUGCAAUGUUUGCUCUUGAUAUUGAGAUUUGUUUAUAUUUUGAUUAAGACUUCCAUGGGUGAAAACCUCUUAUGGACUUGCCCCCAUCAUAAAACUUCUCAUCCACUCACCAAACACAAUUCAAUUCACCACCCAACCUAUUUCAAGUAAUAAAUGUUGGGUCUACAAAAUUGAGAUGGCAAGUAGUUUAUAAGUUAAUUAAUACAUUUUUAUUUUUUAUUCAUAAUGAUUACAAUAUUUAAAAUUUAUUAAAAAAGUUAUAUUAUAUUUUUAAAUAUAUAAACAUAUUUUGUAUAUUAAAUAAUACUAUAUAUCACUAUUAUUUAGGUUUUAUUAUUAUAUACAUAUUGUUAAGUUCUUUUCUUCUUGCAAUCAAAAGUUUGAUUUUUUAAUUGUAAACUUUUAUUUUAGAAAAUGAGUGAUAAAAAAUUAAAAUAAAAAAAUGAAUGAAAAAAAAAAUAUAAUACAUAUUUAAAAGGGAAAACUGAUCAAAAGGGACAAAAAUCCCUCAAUAUUGUAAAACUAACCCCCCACUUUUAAUAGCCUCUAAAAUGACCCAAUUUGGACAAAAAUACCCCUCAGGUACAUCAACUCUUUUUUCUCUCUCAUUCUAAUUUUAUUUCCCUCCAUUCACCUCUUUUUUAUUAUUUCUUCCACUUUCUCCUUUUUUUUCAUUUUCUCCUGUUAUUCCGUUUCUCUCUUUUUCAGUGCAUUUCUUCAAGUCUCACACAGUUUCUUUUCAAAUUUCUUCAACUUAAAGCGCUUUAAGUUGUGGUUGGAUAAACAAUGUAUGUUUAUUUUUAUUUUUUCCAUAUUUUUUUCUUUCAUGUUUUAUUUAUUGAAUAUUUUCAAACAUUUAAUGAGAUGUAGUAAAUAUUUAAAUAAGUUUGAAAUUGUUAUAAUUUUUUUAAUAUCAUUUACAGCCAUGAAAAAAUGGAUUAAAAGAAGGAAACAAUCAGCUUAAAAAGUGUCGUGUGGAGAAACAUUGUCCAUAUGGAAAAAUCAAAUGAUGGUAAGUAAUAAAACUUAUGGAAUUUUAUGAUGGUUUUGGUAUUGUUUGCAUAUUUGUUCUUUAUAUAGAUGUAAAUAUAUGUGUUAAUAGAGUUUUGAUAUAAUAUAUAAAGUUAUCUUUUUUAGUUAUAUACCAAAACUUUACAGAUAUUAAGUUGAACUUGACGUAAGUUAAGAUUGUAUAUAGUUAUUUUAUAGUAACAUUAUAUUAUUGUUAUUUUAUUUAAUUAUACUCAAUUUGAGUUGAAUCAUUUGCAAAUUACCCUUGACAUUAAAUGAAUUACAACAUAACCAAUCUUUUAGUAAAUAAAUAUAUUUUUAUUGUUUAAAAUAGUUUAAAGUUACAAUGUCUGAAUUUAUUUAAUAACUAUAUACAUUGUAUUUCUAUAGCAUUAUUGGUAUUAUUUGAGGUAGUAAAGAUGAUUAAUAAUGUUAUUUAUUUGUUAUUUAUUAAAAUAUAUAUAUAUAUAUAUAUAUAUAUAUAGAUAUAUAUGUGUAAUGAAAUAAUAUGUAUGUAAUAAUUGUUAGAAAUUUGAGGCUAAUCCAACUUAUGGUAAUCACCCUAUAGGAGGGGGGGUGAAUAGGGUGAUGGUAUCUUUUUCACAAAUUUAAACUAUACAAAAAUAAGAGACAAUUAUAUGCAAGUAUAUUAUAAACAAAAUAAAGACAAUUGCAUAUAAUUUAAAAGAGUUAGGGAAGAGAAAGUGCAAACACGAGAGUUUAUAGUGGUUCGGCACUUCCUUGCCUACGUCCACUCUCCUCAACCUCCUAACCGAGUGAGGGUUCCACUAUCUUGAAGCUUCAACCAAGCUUCCAAUCUCUUUACAAUUGGAUUAUGGUUCCAAUUCACCCUCUUGGACUUUUGGCUCCAAGCACCCUUUACACUUUUCAAGAGAUAUCCCACUCUUGAACAACCUCUCAAGUGAUACCCCACACUUGAGAAAAUUCCUCACAAAGAUAUACAAAUAAUGAUCUCUCAAAAUCCUAGUAAUAGAACUUUAGGCUCAAAUAUACAAGAAAAACUAGGAUUGAAUGGUGCACUAAAGAUAUGCAAGUUAUAAAACAAUGGUGCACUAAAAAACACUCUUCCAAAGCUCAAAUAUAAUCAAGAAUAAUUUGGGAAGGUUAAGCUUAUGAAACAAUGAAGAUUGGAGCCUUUUUAUAGAAGAAAAAAGUCAAACUAGUCGUUGGGGGUUUGACCGGUCGAGCUAGGGGUCGACCGGUUGACUAGCCGUUGGGAAAAGUGACCGUUGGGCCUCAACCGGACCUCGAUCGGACCUCAACUGAUUGAGGUUCAACCUUGACAGGGAAGAGAAGGCCACUGUAAGAGAGAGAAACUUUUUGGUCUCCCUCAACCGGUCCUCGACCGGACGAGCACAACUAGUCGAUCGGUUGAGCUAUUUUUUUGGCUCAACACUCAACAUUUUUCAACUUAAAACCUUUUAACACAAGUUUGAAAAUCAUUUAACACAAGGUUUUAGUUCAAAACAUGAAAUCAUCCAAUUCUUAAGAUAUUUAAAACAAUAUUACUCUUGGAUAAUUUUGGUGCAUAAAUAAAGAAUGAAAUGCAUAAAAUUCAUAGUGUACCAACAACCUUACAAAGAGAUCUUAAGAAGUUUUGGUCUUGAAAAACUCUUCUCUUUGAGGUGGUCUUCUUCAUCAUGAUUUCUCUUUGGCUUGACUUGUCUUUGGAUUGCCACUUUGGAAUUCGUCUUGCCUAAUCACACUUGAAAUAUGAUUAUUAGUUCUAAACCUUGUUUUGUUAUCAUCAAAAUCAAGAUUAACCAAACCUUGGUUUCACAAUAAUGAAUGAGUUUUUUAAAAUUAAUACAUACUCAUUGGUGCUAAUGUUAUGAUGUAACUAAAAAGUAUUCUAAUAUUGUUUGUUGAUGACACUAAUUGAAUUAUUUUGUUAUUUCAGUGGUUGAUGAAGUAAGAAUAAUGCUUUUAUAUGAAGGAGAAUGGGUAUGAGAUGGAAAUGCUUUCUAUUUCGAAGGAAGUAAAGGUAAAGGCAAAGACAUUGAGAUCUCGAAAACUAUAUCAUAUAAAGAGUUAUUAGGGGUCAUCAUAUUCUGAAGCUAGGUCCAACAAAUUGUUUUAUUUCAAUGAAGUAUGUAUUCAAUGCCAACAUACCCACAAGUCCUAUACAACUAACUGAUGACGGGGAUGUGAAAUUCUUUAUUGGUUUAAAUUGUACAAAUGGUAAGCUGCAUGUUCCAUUGUGUAUCACAGUUGAAAAAAGAAUUGAUAAUCAUAAUCAGAAAUCAAUUUGAAAUUCUUAUUCCGAAUGUCAUAUGUCUUAUGAGAUUGAUAAAGAAUUGAAUGGGGACUCAAUGUUGAUUCAUAAAAGUAAACACAUUCAUUGUGAUUCGAUUGAAACUCUUACUGUUGAUGGUGAAAUUGGACCAAGAUUUCAAAAUGAGUCACUUAAAGGGUAUAAAGUUCAUGAUUGGAACAUGAAUGAGACUGCAAUUAAUGAGAAGAAUUAUAGGAUGAAUACUAACCCUACUAAUGAUAAGCAAGUGACCCAAAUUGGCUCAUUCAGAACUGGUUCAGCUUAGAGUGCAGAAAUCUUGACCAUGAUUGAUAUAAAUGAUGGUUUCAUACAUGACAAUCCCACUAUAAUUGAAGAUGUAGCAAAUGAAAGACAAAACAUGAUGCAACAACCUAUAGUUAGUGGAAUUAGUGAUGACCAUCUAGAAGAGCACCAAAUAUACUCAAGUAAGAAAGAAUUACAAAGGAAAUUGUAUAUGAUGGCUCUGAAAAGGAAGUUUGAGUUCAAAACAACUAAAUCCACUACUAAGUUAUUUCUUAUUGAAUGUUUUGAUAAAGAAUGCAAGUGGCGAGUUCAUGCUACCAAGUUGGGGAUUUCCAAUAUGUUUCAAAUAAUGAAAUUCUAUUCAACACACACUUGUGGGUUAGAUAUGAUGUCUCGUGACAAUCGACAUGUAAGUAGUUGGUUGAUUGGUGAAAGUAUAAGAGAAACAUAUCAAGAGGUUGGUUGUGAAUUUCGACCAAAAGACAUUGUAGCAGACAUUCGAAAGCAGUAUGGCGUUCAAAUCAGUUAUGAUAAGGCGUGGAGAGCCAGAGAACUUGCUCUAGGUUCUAUUAGGGGAUCACCUAAGGAGUCUUAUAACACUUUACCAUCAUAUUGCUAUGUUUUAGAGCAAAAAAAUCCUGGUACCAUUACCGAUAUAGUUAUUGAUUGUGAUAAUCAAUUCAAAUACUUUUUUAUGUCAAUUGGUGCAUCUCUUGUUGGGUUUCACACAUCAAUAAGGCUUGUGGUUGCAAUUGAUGGGACAUUUUUGAAAGCAAAGUACUUAGGGACUUUAUUUAUUGUAGCGUGUAAAGAUGGCAACAAUCAAAUAUACCCUUUAGCCUUUGGGAUUGGUGACUCAGAAAAUGAUGCCUCAUGGGAGUGGUGUUUACAAAAAUUGCAUGAUGCACUUGGACACAUUGAUGAUUUGUUUGUGAUAUCAAAUUGACAUGGUAGCAUUGAGAAAGUAGUACAUAAAGUAUUUCCCCAUGCGAGGCAUGGUGUCUGUACUUAUCACGUUGGACAAAAUUUGAAGACAAAGUUUAAGAAUCUUGCAAUUCAUAAGUUGUUCCAUGAUGCUGCCCAUGCUUAUCGUGUUUCAAAGUUUAAUUUUAUAUUUGGGCAACUAGAUAUGAUGGACCGAAGAACAGAAAGAUAUUUGAUGGAUAUAGGAGUUGAUCGAUGGGCACGUUCAUAUUCUACCAAAAAAAGAUAUAAUUUCAUGACGACAUGGAUCGUUGAAAGCCUUAAUGUUGUGUUGAAAAAUGAUAGAGAUCUUUCUUCCGGUUUUGCAAUUGGUUGAAGAAUUGAAAAACUUACUUCAAAAAUGGUUUGUGACUCAUCAACAACAAGCAAUGCCAAUGUCAACUGAACUUACCAGGUGGGCUGAUGGAGAACUUCAUUCGAGGUAUAAUAUGUCAGCAACAUAUCUAGUGGAACCUAUCAACUCCAAGGAGUGUAAUGUUAACUAUGCUAGCAUUAGUGCUCAAGUGAAUUUAGACACUCGUUCAUGCACAUGUCGACAAUUUGAUCUUGAUCAUAUUCCAUGUACACAUGCUAUUGUUGCUUGUAGAUUUUACAACAUUUCAUGUUACACUUUGUACUCCAAGUAUUUUACUACUAAAGCAUUGUUAUCUUCAUAUUCAAAGUGUAUUUAUCCAACUGGAAAUGAAAUAGAUUGGUUAGUACCUAAUCAUAUUCAUGACAAAGUUGUGUUACCACCUAAAACGAGACGCCCAACAGGAAGACCAAGGAAAGUAAGAAUUCCUUCUGGUGGAGAGGGCAAGCGCACAUCUCGUUGUAGUCGAUGUGGUCAAUAUGGGCAUAAUUGGAAAACAUGCAAACGACCAAUCCCUUGAUAUCAUGAUAACUUUGGAACUCUAUGAACUUAUAUGGAAUGAAAAUUGUAAUAGUGAGCUUUUUUGUUUUUUUGGUACCCAUGUGAAUGGAAAUGUAAGUUACUUUUUGUAUAAGGUGAUAGGAUAAGCAUAGAGAUGAAUAUUGUAAUAAUGAUCCCUUUUUUUGCAUACCCAUAGAAAUAGAGUUACUUUUGUACAUAUAUGUUAUGAUGAGUUAUGUACAAAGUAUGAAUGAAAAUUGCAUAUUUAUUCUCAAACUAUGGACUUAAUUGUUCUCACGUUUAUUGAUAAGGAACUGGACAAUAGUUAAGUUCAGGUUUUGUCUGAAGACUGUAGACUUAACUACCUUCAAGUUUGUACAUAAAACAACUUGUCAAUGGUUAAAUUCAGGUUUUGUCUAAAAACUGUUGACUUAACUGCCUUCAAGUUGGUACAUAAAACAACUUGACAAUAGUUAAGUUCAAGUUUUGUCUAAAGACUGUGGACUUAACUACCUUCAAGUUUAUACAUAAAACAACUUGACAAUAGUUAAGUUCAGGUUUUGUUUAAAGACUGUGAACUUAACUACCUACAAGUUGGUACAUAAAACAAGUUGACAAUAGUUAAGUUCAGGUUUUGUCUAAAGAUUGUGGACUUAACUAUCUUCAAGUUUAUACAUAAAACAACUUGACAAUAGUUAAGUUCAGGGUUUUUUAAAGACUGUGAACUUAACUACCUUUAAGUUUGUACAUAAAACAACUUGACAAUAGUUAGGUUCAGGUUUUGUCUAAAGACUAUGGACUUCACUACCUUCAAGUUUGUUCAUAAAACAACUUGACAAUAGUUAAGUUCAGGUUAAAAUGGCAAUUGUAGACACAACUUCCUAUGAGUCUAUAGAAGAUCAACUUGAUACCUGUUAAGUCCAGAUUAAAUCUGUUAUUCUGGAAUAGACUUCGACUUAAUAUCUGUUAGGUUUGUUCACAGUUAACUUGAUAGUAGUUAAGUUCAGGUGUUCUAUUAAGACUGUGGACUUAACUACCUUCAAGUUUGUACAUAUAACAACUUGACAACAGUCAAGUUUAGUUUAAAAGGUCAAUUAUAUACAUAACUAUUGAACAACAUUCAUCAAAAUAUCCAAGUAUAUAUAUCAAGUUGUCCAACUACAUUUAUCAAAAUGUCUAACUACAUAUAUGAAGCUAUCCAAUUACAUAUAACAAACCAUCCAACUACAUUAUCAAAAUGUGAAAUAUCAACAUGAAUUCAUUACAUAGGCAAGUAUUUCAUAUAAAAUAACUCUGCUGCCAUCUUUUCCCGAAACCAGUCCAUUCGAGCACUUGUUAAUGACUUCAAUGGAUGGUUGUGCAUUAAGUAUUCAACAUAUUUGAUAACAAACAUGCCACAAUCAUCACUGCAUGGUACACAGAUAAUCAAUGUUAGGGCUAUUAUUAAGGAUUAAGUGUAUAAGAUAUGAAAGUAAAUUUAAGAUCACUUACUCAUUUUCUUGUUGAGGAAUAUCUUACAGCCGUUCAAUUUCCCAUUCCUGGUAGUUAACUUUUGUGUCACCAUGAAACCCAUAAUAUGCUAUUGCAUUUAAGAUAUGCGGCAACAAUGUGGUUAAUGGUUUAAUGGAAACUUGCAAUCUUGCAUUAUUAUUGAUGCCCAUCAAUGAGUCAUAUACAUAUAUAAUCCUUCGAUGAAGGUGGACAACUCCUAAUACCCAGUGACUAACCCGAACAUUGAUGGGGACAUACACAAUGUCAACAUCAGGCCAUUUGAUAGAAUAAAGAGGCUGCAAACCAUUGGCAUAAUCAAUAAGAAUGUCAUUCUCUGGUAAUUUGAAUAGGUUCCAUUUCUUGACAUGCUUAAUCCAUUUUGCUAUAUAGAAUAAAGUUAACAUACAUAAAUAAAUAACCAAGAUUAUAAGAUUCAUUAUUACAAAAAAUUAAAAAUGAUAACUAAAAUUCAAACUACACAUACCCAAAACAUAGUAUCCAUUGUGGUAAACUUUUGGGGAAAAAAAUGAGGAUUUUCUAUUCGUUGCUUCCGGAAAAACAAGGCAACAUCAAUGUGCUAACAAUUAGUGUUUGGAUACCCGGUUCUCCAAAGCUCUUUGCAAACCAAAUAGUGUCAUCUCAUAACAAAUCCCCUCCCCCCAAUGGAUACUUGUUAAAAGCCUCCAAAUUAUCAACCAAAGCAACUCAUUCCAUAUCUAUUAAAUUUUUUCCUUCUUUCCCAAAUAAAACAUGCUCUAAAAAAUAGAAAAGUGCCAACUUUAUCACUUCUUUAUCUUCAAAUUCUUUUUUUUUCUUAUUCUUUUUCUUUUUCUUUUCCUCUCUUUAAGAAAGAAAAACUUUCUCCAACUCAUCAUUACGCACCUUGUUUUCUCCUUUAAAGUAUAUGUCCCUUAUUUGUAAUGAUUUUUUAUCACAUUUUAUAAUAGGACCAAAACUCAAGCCCGUAAUCAAUGCAAAACUCUUCUUUACUAAAUCUUAAGCCCUUUGACUUUAAUAAAAUCCAUAUUUUAUUGUCUUUUUUGGUUUCACAUUGACGUAACAACAAUUGAUGAACAAUUUGGGCUAAAAAUCUAAGUUCGGGAAAGAGUAAAAAAUGACCAAAACAUGAUUUUCUAAACAUCUUCAAUUGUGGUUCAGUCAAUUUCUUCUUAAUAUUUUCAAUGGCUACCAAGUGAGACAAACAUGCAAUUUUUCCAGGAAAGUACUCCUCUUUAGGUAUUUUAGAUAUAAAAGAUAGGGAGAGGAGGAGGAAUGUCAAUCUAUAAGAUAAUAGCAAAUUGUAAAAAUAUCAAUAUAAAUUGAGCAAAAUUAUAUUUCCAAACUUAUCCAACUAUGUUAAAUCCUUCAUUUCGUAUUACUUCUUAACAUAGACUUUAUUUUCCUAUUAUUUAAGAAUGCCAUGUCAAAUGCUAAUAUUCUAAAGAUAUUAUUUUACUAAUGCAAUUGAAGCUAUUAUAUUUUACUAAGUUGCAGCUACAAAAAAUUGGAGACAUUAUUCUAGUGUUUAUUGAAAUUUGAAACAAAACCAAACCAUUUUGAAAUUGCAACCUGUUGACAAUGAACUUGAUAGCAGUUAAGUUCAGUUUUUUCUUAACAUAUAUAUUUAAAUCAAAAUUCUAAAUAUUUGGAUAAAAUAAAUUCAUAAAAAUUAUAUUCAAAUACAUUAUAAAUUCAUAACAAAUAACUUCAUUACACAAAAUUUCAAAACCUUUUGAUGGUAAACUUGAUAGUAGUUAAGUUUAGUCUUUUCUAAUCAUUCAAAUAUUGCUUUAAACCUUGGACUAUAACCUCACUGAGAAAAUUUUCAACAAUUAGAUUAUCAAUUCAUGAAAAAUAAUUUCAUAAAAAAAAUGAUAAUUGAUUAAAAGGGAUAAAAUGUAAAAAAAAAAAUUAAAAAUCAAAAUUUCAAGUAGAAAAUUAAUGCUUACUGAAUCAGUUGAUUUCUUCUCAUUUUCUGAUGACGAUGACAAGGUUUCAAAACCUUGCUUUCUUUCACUUCUCUUUUUUCUCAAAAUUUUAUACCCUUCUGUUUCAUAUUUUUCAUCACCGAAUUUUUUUCUUCCUCCAUUUUCAUGAACUGAAUCAACACACAAUAUCAGAAAGAUGAAAAAUAGGGCUUGAUUUAAAAAAAAUAAAAUGAACCAAAAUAAGACACGUAGGGUUUCUUCUCAUUUCAUGGAUGAAGAUUCAUAUGUACAGUUCAAAAAACUGAAAUCAAAGAAUGAAACAGUGAAACUUACUUUUUGUUUUUUCCUUGUGUUGUGUUGCCUUUUUGUUCUCUUACAAUAAACGAAAAAGUCUUUUGUGAUUUCUUUCUCGUAGGUUAAUGGAUGAAACAAAUGGGUUUUCAGGGUAAGGAAGAGACACAGCACUAGGGAAAAUUGGAGUUGGAAGGAAAAUGACCUGAAAAGAUAGCUGAAUGGGUAUUUUUGUCUGAGUUGGGUCAUUUUUAAGACUUAAAUAAGUGGGGAGGUUAGUUUUGCAAUAUUGAGGGAUUUUUGUCCAUUUUAAUCGGUUAUCCUUAUUUAAAAUUAUCAUAUUUCAUAUAGAGAAUAUAAAAAAAAAUAGAUUAUUUCACUACUUAUUGUAUCUCAUAUUACAAAUACAAAUAUGGGAUACUGUAAGAUUACUCAUCGGGAUCAAACUCCAUCAAAUCAUUUGGCCAAAAAACAAGGAGAAAAUGGCAAUAUCACUACAUGUUGAAUUAAAAGUCAUAAAAACUUCACAUCAUCUUUAAUUAUUCAACCAACAUCAAAAAACACUCAUCCAAGGUUAAAAUAAUAUUCAAGAAUGAUUUAUAAUUCUUCCACUUUAAUAUAAGUAUAGAGUAUUUAAAUAGAAUUUAGAACCCCAAACUAGUUAUUAGAUACAACUUAAGUUUGAUAGAUCAGUCAAUCUGUCAAGCGGCUACUAGUCGUUGGGGUUACUGUUGUCCAAUCGAUUUAACUAAUCUUUAACCAAUGAAAAUUUAGUUUUGCCAAUCUUGAGCAUUUUAAUCGGUUCUCAAUAAAUAGAAACAUGAGGAUCAACAGAUUCCCCUGUAUAUACCUCAAUUGAUUCCACUAAUUUUGAAAAAAUUAAAUCCAAUCAAGUUUGGGAAACCUAGGCUAAUAUAAUCUUAACUUUUUAAAAAUUCUUUAGAAAUAUUUUAAUUUUCUUUUUAGAAAUUAUUGUACUCAUACGCACUUAGAUUAAAUCAUUAAUUUCAAAUUUUAUUUUAUAAUUAUAACAGGUGAGAUUAACACUUAGGGAUAGUAAUGAAACGGGUUUUUUUAGGUACUCAUCCUACCCCUAAUAGAACGGGUUUCAAUUUUAACUAAACAGAUUUGGGACGAGUUUGAAAUUUUUUUUAAAAAAACAUGGCAGGUUUGGAACGGGUUUAGAUAUUGCCUUGCCUUACCCCGAUUAUAUAUAAAAUUAAUUUAAUUUUUAUUUUACUAUUUUUAAUAUAUAGAUAAUAAUAAAAUAUUUUUAAUAAAAUAAGUUAUAAAAAAAUAUAAUAAUUUAAUUUUUUAUAAAAUAUAUUUAUUUUAAUGUAAUUAAAAAAUUUUAAAGUAAUUUUUUUUAAAAUAUUCAAAAAAAAAGUUAAAUGGUGGGAAUUUCUCAUACUCAUUUCACCCCGUCCUGUCCCGUUUAAUUUUUUAAAUAUGACAAAUAUAUGAAUUAUUUUGAAUAAACGGGGUGGGAUUGGGAUGGGGGCAACCCGCCCCAUUGUUAUCCCUAUUAGUGCUUAACAGUCUUUAUAUUAGUCAUUGUUUUGCAUAUCCACCAUCUUAAAAAUUCAAGUUGAAAUUAUUGAAUCUAGAAAAAAUAUAGGUAAUUACAAAAAUAAUAACCAACAAAGCUGCGUAAUAUUCACAAUAAUGAAUAUCCCUACAUGACAUAUUUUAAAAAAAAAAAAACUAUUGGCUUGAGAUUUGAAAUCUAACUUUUUUAAAAGGUAAAGAAGGUGAGCAAUGCUCCCUUUAUAUAAGUUGUGCCCCGUCUUCAUGUAGUUUCUUUUUAGAUAUUCUCUAUAAUAUUUUUUAUUUCUUUCCAUCUUUAUUUCCUUAAGCUAUAUUUGGUUUCCAAAAAAUACUACAAAAUAUUAAGAAAAAUUAUUUUCUUAUGUUUAGUUUCACUAUAGAAAAUAUAAAAGAAAAUCAAAUAUAAUUAAAAUUUAUUUAAAUUUUAUACAUUUUAAAAUUAUUUAAUCUUACUAUAAUAGAAAGAAAUAAAUAAAAUAAGUUUAAAAAACGUAUAAAAAUAAUUUAUUAAAUUUAAACUUAUUUUUUAUUUUUUUUCACUUUUUCUUUUUUGCUACUUUUGUUCUUUAUUUUCUAUUUUUUUACAUUUUCCCUAAAAUUUUAUAGGAAUCAAACAUAGUCUUAAAAUUUUAAAUAAAAAUUAUCUAAUUUACAAAAAAUAUAGACAAUUGUGAAGUAGUAGGGUGUUGUCUACAUAUAUGUUACAACAUCCACAAAUAUUAUACCCAAUCAAUAAGAGAACUAUCAAUCUAUCAACUUUUUUUUUUUUUUAAUAUAUUAAGAAAUGUGGUGACAUCAUAAAGUCUUUUUUUAAGGUGAAUAAGGUUUUUCAUACAUGAAAUUAUACCACAAAUAUAUAAACCAUAAGAAAAAUAAUUUUUUUAAUAUUUGCAUGUUAUGAAUAUAUAUAUAUAUAUAUAUAUAUAUAAUGCUAAAAGGUUUUUCUCACCAUUUUCUUUAUAUAAAGGUGAGUAAAAUUUGACAAAAGUAUAUUUCUCAAAAUUUAAAUUUAAUUUUCUUUCCCUAAAUAGGAGUUUUUUUUUCCUUUCCUUAUAAUCUUUCACUCUAUUUUCUUCUCUCUCUCUCUCUCUUUCGAUUUUCCAUGAAACAACCUUGAUAAUAAUAAUAAUAAUAAAUGUACAAAACAUAUACAUAGAAGGAAUUCCUUAUCAUUAAAAAAAUCUAAGUUAAGCUACACUUGUAACGGUAGUAUUAUUUAUUUUUUUUAUAUUUUUUUUCAAUGACAAGUUUGAUAUAAUUUUACAUCAUUUCAAAUACUUGCCCAUUUUAAGAUUGUAAUUUUUGGAUCAAACAUGAGAGUUUCUUCUACUCUUCUAAUUUGUUGUAAUUUUUUCUAUCUUUGUCAACAAAUUUUAUUUUUCUCCCCUCUAUCGAGGUACCUAAUAUGGUUAUGAAUCAUGUAAAUAUAAAUCGAGUUUUUGUUGUUUUUUCUACAUAUUAAGAUUUGUUAAUAUUUUUACUUUCUCAAUAUUUGUGUUAUUUCUUCUAAGAAUUCCUUCAAGUUUGGGACAAGUCCUAAAAUAGGAUGAAAGAAAUAAUCACAUUCUUUCUCAAUCUAGUGUUAAAUCUUGGGUUGUUUGAAGGCCAAUAUCCCUUCAAUAAGGCUAAAGUGUAUUUAUUAGAACAAUUGGAGAUUGCAUGUUGUGUCACUAAGGUGAAUAAUAGGAGCAAUUGGAGAUUAGUGCAUCGCAAACAUGGAUCAAAUUAUAGGUAUUAAAGAGUAAGUCUUUAGGUAAAGUAAGUAGGUAAAUUUGUGUGACUUGAUCUCAUAUAAUGGAUUUAGAUUUGAGGUCUUAAAGCUUGUAUUUUUUUAUCUCCAUUUAGUGUGGAGGUUUUCCACAUAAAACUUUUGUGUGUCCCCUUGCAUACUUUUUUUUAUUAUUCGAGUAUUUUAAAUAUAUUGAUUAUCUCUUAUAUUCUAUAAGUUUAAAAUUGGAUUUAUUUCAUUCCUUAUAUUAUAAUUUUUAAAUAUGUCUAUUCACCCCUUCUAAGAGUUAUCGUACUGGACAUCGGUUUUUCAUAAUUAAUAAACAAUGAAGCCGUCACUAAUAGCUUCCUACAUUUUCAAAUUAAAAAUCGCAAAACUUCACACCAACUCAAGAUAAAUGGUUCAAUUAUUCAACUACCAUCACCACCACUUAACCCAUUUCAAAUAUAUAAAUAAAUGUUGGGUUUAGUUUUAAUAAUCGGAGCGUGACUCACAUGGUUAAGCUCUUUUACUUUCCUUUUAUAUUUAUGAUGUAUUGUUUUGGUUUACCUUUUUUAAUCAAAUAUUCCAAAAUUUGGAUCGCAAGUGGUGCCUUUUUUAAAUGUCUUCCAACCCAUCUUCAUACAUGAAACUAUGAAGAUUAUAUUUGAUUCAUAUAAAGUACGGAGAAAAACAAAAGAAAAUAAUAAGAAAAAUAAAAUAAUUACUUUAUGUUUGGAUGUCAUGGGAAAAUGUGAGGAAAAAAUAUUAAGAAAAAUCGUAAGAUAAGGUGACGGUUCAUCACAUGAAAGGAGACAGUUGUUCCUGCACAUGGGCAUGUGCCCCCAUGUGGAUUUGAAUGUGAAAACAGAAGCGUUUGUCUAACAAUUAUUUCUCUGCAAUUUAUUUAUAUCACUCGGGCGAUGCAAUGGUUGACUGUGAUUAACUUAAUAUUACUUCUCCCUACAACGGCUCUCUCUGUAAUCUCUAUAUAUUAUCCUCACAUGUAUUCCUAUUGCUCCUCACAACACUAUCGCUUGUUUCUUUCUCGUAUUCUCUCUUGCUACAAUUCCAUUCAUUCUCCUUAGCUGUUUGAAAGAUGGCCGAACAAAUUCCAUUCAGUCUUAUUGAGAAGCUUUUGAUGAAGCUGGGGUCUUCAAUUUACGGAGAAAUUGGGUUGAUGUAUGGUGUCCGAAACGAGCUGGGAAAGCUUCAGGACAAACUGUCCACGAUCAAAGCUGUACUUGUUGAUGCUGAGGAGCAGCAGCAGAGGAGCCAUGCUGUAGCAACUUGGGUGCAGAGGCUUAAAGAUGUUGUUUAUGAUGCUGAUGACUUGUUCGAUGACUUUGCAACUGAAGAGUUACGGAGAAAAACGGAAGUGCAGGGAAGAUGUGCUGGACAAGUAGGUGACUUCUUCUCAUCUUCCAAUCACCUUGCUUUUCGAUUUAAGAUGGGUCAUAGAAUAAAGGAUAUUAGAGAAAGGCUAGAUGAUAUUGCAAAUGAAACCUCCAAGUUAAAUUUUAUUCCCAGAGUCAUAUCUGAUGUCCCGGUAAGGAAUAGGGGGAGGGAGACGUGCUCUGUUGUGGAGAAAUCUCAUAAAAUUGUGGGUAGAGAUGAAAACAAAAGGGAGAUAAUAGAGUUGUUGAUGCAAUCAAGUACUCAAGAAAAUUUGUCAAUGGUUGUGAUUGUAGGCAUAGGGGGCUUAGGCAAGACCACCCUUGCUCAGUUGGUUUACAACGACCAAGGGGUGGUAAGCUAUUUUAAUCUUAAAAUGUGGGUUUGUGUUUCGGAUGAUUUCGAUGUAAAAGUACUGGUUAGAAAUAUCAUAAAGUCUGCAACUAAUAGAGAUGUGGAAAACUUGGAGUUAGAUCAGUUGCAAAAACGUCUUCAAGAAAAGUUAGAUGGGAAGAGGUACUUGCUUGUGUUAGAUGAUGUCUGGAACGAGGACAAAAGGGAAUGGGGUCAGUUCAUAACCUUAUUGCCUGUUGGUGCAAAUGGGAGUAAAAUCUUGGUGACCACUCGAAGCACAAGAGUUGCAUCAGUUAUAGGAAUUGAUUCCCCAUAUAUUGUGGAAGGUCUUAAAGAUGAUGAGUCUUGGGAUUUGUUUGAAAGUCUUGCAUUUAAAAAGGGAGAAGAGCAAAUGCACCCAAACCUUGUAGCCAUAGGAAAAGAAAUUGUAAAGAUGUGCAAAGGAGUUCCUCUUGUCAUCGAGACUUUAGGCGGAAUGUUGUACUUCAAUACCCAAGAAAGCCAUUGGUUGAGCAUUAAAAAAAAUAAAAAUCUUGUACUUCUUGGAGAAAAAAAUGAUAUUUUACCGAUAUUGAGGUUAAGCUAUGACAAUCUUCCCGUCCAUUUGAAACAAUGUUUUGCCUAUUGUGCAUUGUUUCCCAAAGAUUAUAUAAUUCAAAAAAAGUUGUUAGUACAACUAUGGAUGGCACAAGGUUACCUUCAACCAUAUGAUGAGAAUAUAGAUUUAGAGGAUGUUGGUAAUCAAUAUUUUGAAGAUUUAUUGUCAAGGUCAUUGUUUCAAAAAGUUGAAAAUAAAAAUACAAAUAAUAUAGUAAGUUGUAAAGUGCAUGACUUAAUGCAUGAUCUUGCACAAUCCAUUGUAAAGUCUGAGAUUAUCAUUGUAACAGAUGAUGUGAAGAUUAUUUCACAUAGAAUUCAUCAUGUGUCAUUAUUUACAAAACACAAUGAAAUGCCCAAGGAUUUAAUGGGCAAAUCCAUCAGGACUUUCUUUAACAGCGCCGGCUUUGUGGAUGAUCAUGAUGGUUCUAUAACUAGACUCCUUUCAAGCUUAAAAGGUUUGCGGGUAAUGAAGAUGAGGUUCUUCUUACGAUAUAAGGCUGUGUCAUCUUUAGGAAAACUAAGUCAUCUAAGAUAUCUUGAUCUUUCUAAUGGGUCGUUUGAAAACCUCCCAAAUGCUAUUACAAGAUUGAAGCAUUUACAGACAUUGAAGCUUUUCUAUUGUUUCGGUCUGAAAGAAUUGCCGAGAAAUAUGAAAAAAUUGAUCAACCUAAGGCAUCUUGAGAUUGAUGAAAAAAAUAAAUUAAGUUAUAUGCCACGUGGGUUGGGAGAUUUGACUAAUCUUCAAACCUUGCCAUUAUUCUGCGUAGGGAAUGAUAGUGGCGAAUCCAGGCACAAGAGAAUGGGUAGGUUGAAUGAACUGAGAUUCCUUAACAAUCUCAGAGGACAACUACAAAUUAAAAAUCUUUCAAAUGCGAGAGGCAGUGAAGCUAAGGAAGCCAUUUUGGAGGGUAAACAGAGUCUUGAGUGCUUGAGAUUAGAUUGGGAGGGACAAGAAGCUACCGACGAGAGUGAGGAGGACGAGAGUGAGGAGGCAGUGUUAGUGAUGGAAAGCCUGCAACCACAUCCAAAUCUGAAGGAGCUCUUCAUAAUUUGUUACACAGGUGUGAGAUUCCCAAAUUGGAUGAUGAAUGAUGGGUUGGAUUUGUUGCUCCCAAACCUAGUGAAAAUUCAAAUAACGUCUUGCAACAGAAGCAAAGUUCUGCCACCUUUUGCACAACUCCCUUCUCUUAAAUAUCUAGUACUUUUCGAUCUAAUUGCUGUGGAGUGCAUGAUGGAUUACCCUUCAUCAGCAAAGCCAUUCUUCCCAUCUCUGAAGACACUCCAACUUUCUCUUUUGCCCAAUUUGAAGGGAUGGGGAAUGAGGGAUGUAGCAGCAGAGCAAGCUCCUUCAUAUCCUUAUCUUGAGGAUCUACUGCUGAACAACACCACUGUGGAGCUAUGCUUACAUUUGAUCUCUGCCUCUUCUUCAUUGAAGUCUCUGUCUAUUAGAUGCAUAAAUGAUCUGAUAUCUCUGCCAGAGGGGCUUCAACAUCUUUCCACCCUACAAACUCUCAAAAUUGAGCAUUGCUAUGGUUUGGCAACUUUACCAGACUGGAUUGGCAGCCUCACAUCACUUUCAAACCUUUCCAUUGAAUGCUGCCCUGAGUUGAGAUCACUACCAGAAGAGAUGCGAUCCCUCCGCCAUCUACACACACUUGAAAUCUAUAGAUGUCCAUACUUAUAUGAAAGAUGCCAAAAGGAAACUGGUGAAGAUUGGCCUAAGAUUUCUCAUAUUCCCGAAAUUAUCAAUCGGGGAUGGUGAAGCAGAUAUGUGAAGCUUGCCUUGUCUCUUUAAUGAAUGCGUCAUCCACAACAAAUUUCGGUAUGCAAUCCAAUUUCUAGUUGUUUGCUGUGCUUUUUGUUAUUUGUUCGCACUUCACCUGUUACAUAAAAUGCUUAGCUUACCAAAAUGCCCUGUUACUCGGUGUUUGCAGUUUACACAUUUGCAUUUUACUGCCGUCGAAAUUGUUGUCAUCUCACUUCUCUCAAAUAUUAUAUAAAUUUCAGAAUAUAAUACUUGAAACUGUUGCAAUACUGAUUAUUUAAUGCUUGGAAUGCCUUCAAAAAUUGCAACCAUCAUGCCCCUAGAUGGCCACCCAAGAAAACUAAAGCUCAGGAAACUCAGCCGGGAAUUUAUAUUAAUCAGAACUAGGCUCUUAUAUGGAUUUGCUUGUAGUGUUUAACAAUGUUUGGGUUAGAACUUAAAGAAGUGUAGCUCCAUAUUCCUUGAUGGACACGUUAAUGUAUUGAGGUCAACCCCCACCACAUGUUGAAUUGAUAGGUAGUGUGAAGAAGACCAUUGAUGUAUAUAGGUGUAGAGUAAGGUGUUUUUUCCAUAGGGACUGCCACAAGCAAUUUAAUUUCUUUUUUUUUUUUUUGAAUGUUGAUUCUUAUAAGAUAGAACCAAAAGCAUAAAAUAAAAUCUAAUGCUUAUUUAGAGUUUUUUUGUAAUAUAAACAAGUGCCUAUCGCAAAGAAAGAACAUAGCAUAUUUUUGUGCAAUUUUAAAUUAUUCAUCGUACUAUGUGUUUCCAAUCCAAUUUGUAUGGUUGUUUUUGCAGGGUUUAUGUUUUGUUAUUUUACAAUUUAUCUAGCUCUUUAGAACCUUAUAGAUUAUGUUUUGCUAAUUUCGAUAUGUAAUGGCAUAUGUGAGGGAAAAGGUUUUUCAAUUUGUUUUCCUUCACUUUGUUGCAUGUCUAUGUUCUUUUACUCAUGAAUACAAUUGGGACUGUAAAUGUCAUGUUCGGUUUUCUUGUAGUUAUUUAGAAUAUUACUUGGGAUGUGCAUAUAAUACUUUCUUAUUAUGGAAGUCUUUGCCCUGGUUAUAAAUUAUGAUUUGAUUUUAUAUUUUUGGAUUGAACAAUGCUUGUAAUUCUUUUCGCUAUUCUAAUUUCUUGAUGAUUCAUUCUAUUAAGCCAACACCCUUUAAUAUUCCUUAAAAAAAUGUUGACAGGUGGAGGAUAACCGAUGCAUAUGGAAUGAGUUAGCUCACUUACAUCACAUUCCCAACCUAUACCCUUUUUAGCAUGUUGUCCAUACUUUGUCUCCACUAUUCAGGUUUAGAAUUGACUCCUCUCCUUUUGCUCUGAAUUGUUUACCCCUUUCAUUCAUUUACUAAAAUUUUUUGUACUUCUAGUCUUCUUAUGAUGUUUUGAUCUUUUUUUUUUUUAACUCUUAUUUGAAGUAGAACAACAAUAUACCACUUGAGCAAGGAAGGAGCACAUAUUAUUGAAUCCAUGUGGUAAGUGGUUAAUUCUCGUCUCUCAAGUUUCUUGAUCGUGGGAAUCUAAAUGCUUUGGGGUGCAUGGAUAACAAUAGCGACAUAUCUCCCUCAUUUUCAUUGAGAGGCAAGUUGGUUUGAGGGGAGUAUAAAAUAAGGAGAACUAGCAGGACCAUUCUUCCCAUUCCUGCCAUGAUGGAGGAAAAGAGAUGGUGGAGGGAUAGUAUCAAUAUCACUAGCAAAACAACAAAUUUGAAGGGAUUACCCAUCAUCAGCAAAGCCAUUAUUCCCAUGUCUGAGGACACUCCAACUUUUUUAUUUGCCCAAUUUGGAGGGAUGGGGAAGGAGGGAUGUAGCAGCAGAGCAAGCUCCUUCAUAUCCUUAUCUUGAGGAUCUACAGCUGGGCAACACCACUGUGGAGCUACGCUUACAUUUGAUCUCUGUCUCUUCUUCAUUGAAGUCUCUGUCUAUUAGACGCAUAAAUGAUCCGAUAUCUCUGCCAGAGGGGCUUCAACAUGUUUCCACCCGACAAACUCUCACAAUUGAAUAUAUCUCUGGUUUGGUCACUUUACCACACUGGAUCGGCCGCCUCACAUCACUUUCAAAGCUUCGCAUUGAACACUGCCAUAAUUUGUUAUUUCUGCCAGCAGAGAUGCGAUCCCUCCGCCAUCUACACACACUCGAAAUUUGUGGUUGUGCACACUUAUAUAGAAGAUACAAAUACAAAACUGGUGAAGUUUCGGCUAUGAUUUCUCAUAUUCCCGAAAUUAUUAUUUCGCGACAUUGAAGCAGGUAUGUGAAGCUUGCCUUGUCUCUUUAAUUGAAUGCGUCAUCCACAAUAAAUUUCAAGUAUGCAAUCCAAUUUCUAGUUGUUUGCUGUGUUUUUCCUUAUUUGUUCGCACUUCACCUGUUCGAUAAAAUGCUUAGGUUACCAAAAUGCCUUGUUACUCGGUGUUUGCAGUUUACAUGUUUGCAUUUUACUGCCGUCGAAAUUGUUGUCAUCUCACUUCUCUCAAAUAUUAUAUAAAUUUCAGAAUAUAAUACUUGAAACUGUUGCAAUACUGAUUAUUUAAUGCUUAUAAUGCCUUCAAAAAUUGCAACCAUCAUGCCUCUAGAUGGCCACCCAAGAAAACUAAAGCUCAGGAAACUCAGCCAGGAAUUUAUAUUAAUCAAAACUAGACUCUUUUAUGGAUAUGCUUGUAGUGUUUAACAAUGUUUGGGUUAGAACUUAAAGAAGUGUCGCUCCAUAUUCCUUGAUGGACACGUUAAUGUAUUGAGGUGAACCCCACCACAUGUUGAAUUGAUUGGUAGUGUGAAGAAGACCAUUGGUGUAUAUAGGUGUAGACUAAGGUGCUUCUUCCGUGGGGACUGCCACAAGCAAUCUAAUUUUAUUUUAUUUUUUUAUGUUGAUUCUUAUAAGAUGGCACCAAAAGCAUAAAAUAAAAUCUAAUGCUUCUUUAGAGUUUUUUGUAAUAUAAACAAGUGUCUAUCGCAAAGAAAGAACAGAGCAUAUUUCUAUGCAAUUUUAAAUUAUUCAUCUUACUAUGUGUUUGCAAUCUAAUUUGUAUGGUUGUUUUUACAGGGUUUAUUUUUUGUUAUUUUACAAUUUAUCUAGCUCUUUAGAACCUUAUAUAUUAUGUUUUGCUAAUUUCGAUAUGUAAUGGCAUAUGUGAGGGAAAAGGUUUUUCAAUUUGUUUUCCUUCACUUUGUUGCAUGCCUAUGUUCUUUUACUCAUGAAUACAAUUGGGACUGUAAAUGUCAUGUUCGGUUUUCUUGUAGUUAUUUAGAAUAUGACUUGGGAUGUGCAUAUAAUACUUUCUUAUUAUGCAAGUCUUUUCCCUAGUUAUAAAUUAUGAUUUAAUUUUAUAUUUUUGGAUUGAAACAAUGCUUGUAAUUCUUUUCACUAGUCCAAUUUCUUGAUGAUUCAUUCUAUUAAGCCAACACCCUUUAAUAUUCCUAAAAAAAAUGUUGAUAGGUUGAGGAUAACCGAUGCAUAUGGAACAAGUUAGCUCACUUACAUCACACUCCCAAUCUAUACUAUUUUUAGCAUGUUGUCCAUACUUUGUCUCCACUAUUUAGGUUUAGAAUUGACUCAUCUCCUUAUGCUUUGGAUUGUUUACCCCUUUCAUUCAUUUACUAAAAAAUGUUGUACUUCGUCUGAUUUUUUUGUUUGAUAUUUUGAUCUUUUUUUUAACUCUCAUUUAAAGUAGAACAACAAUACUCCACUUGAGCAAGGAGCACAUAUUACUGAAUCCAUGUGGCAAGUGGUUAAUUCUCGUCUCUCAAGCUUCUUGAUCAUGGGAAUCUAAAUGCUUUGGGAUGCACGGAUAACAAUAGCGGCAUAUCUCCUUCAUUUUCAUUGAAAGGCAAGUUGGUUUGAGGGGAGUAUAAAACAAGGAGAACUAGCAGGACCAUUCUUCCCAUUCCUGCCAUGAUGGAGGAAAAGAGAUGGUGGAGGGAUAGUAUCAAUAUCACUAGCAAAACAACAGUAACCAACAUUCAUUACUUCUCUGGUUUCCUCAUCUUUUUAUUUUACUUGAGCUGAAAUGCAUGCUGAUAUAUCUAUAUCUUGAUCAGGAUUUAGAUCUAUAUAACAUCUCUUCCACAAGAGGAGCCCUAAGUGCUUACCUCUCUUAAUUUGGUAAGUAUGUUGCAUUAUUGUUUGUUUGUAUAAUUCUAGAUAUCAUUUUUGAAUGAUGAUGAAAAUUUAUGUUUUUCUCUCAUUUUCUCAAAAUUGAUGACAAAUAGAUAAAAGAUUCUUGUGCUCUUUAAUUCUAUCACACCAUACAAACAUAUUUUAGGUUUGCAAAUCUACCUAUAUUCCUUUUCUAUGGGAUUUACUUUUCAUUAUUUUACAAUUUGUCCUUUAAGAAUGUUACACUUUCUUUACAGCUUUAAUUACCAGAGUCUUUGAUGCAUUUCCAAAAACACUCAUAUUAUGCAAGUCCUUUUCAUGGUUAUGAGUCAUGUUUGUAAUUCUUGACUGGAUUUUAUUGGACAAAUUUAUUGCAGAUUCAUUCUAUUGUUGACCAAUACCAAAGGGGUGAUAUUGAGGAUUGGAUGGAUGCUUUUCAACAUUCCAUAAAUAAAUAUUGACAUGUUAUUGGUACCCGAGGCAUAUGGGAAAAGUUAGCCAUUCAAUUCGAUAUUUAAGCUUUGCAUGUUGUCUAUAACAUGUCUUCAUUAUUCAGGUUUAGGACCCAUUCCUCUCUUUUUUGGUUUUGUUGGUUUAUUUUCUGUUAUUUAAUUUGCUAAAAAUUCUUAUACCUUGUCUUAUAGGAAGGGUGAAACAAGGAGAAUUAACAGGAUUAUUCUUCUCAUUUCUGCCAUGAUGGAGAAACUCAAAAAUUAGAGAAACUUAAAACAUAUGUCGAGGUGGUAGUGGCAUUACCAGAUAAACAACAGAAGCUUCAUUCUUGCCAUGUUUUCCUUUUCUUCCUAUUCUCCUUAAGCCGACAUCCAUGCCACUGCAUCUAUAUCUUAAGGAUCCACAGUACCAUCUCCUUCAUUUCCUUUCUCCUUCCUACAUCCAUUGACGUCUAUGCAUAUUGAUGGCGAUAGAGAAUCCAACAUAUGUUCCAAAAAAAGGAUUUUGGUACAUCAUUUCUCUCUUAAAUUUUGACAUGCCAUUGUUUAUUUGUCCAAGUCUAGAUAUUCGAAAUGUAAAUGCUAAUGGUGGUGAAAUCUUAUGUCUUAGGGAAUUUCAGCAAGUUAAAGAUUUUUUAUGUGAAUGUAGGAAUCAAUUCUAAGAACUCGAGAGGUAGCAUCCAAUAUGUAUUCACCUUACUACAGCAAAGAAUCUAACACUUUGGGUAAGUGUUCAUUCUUUAACUUAGGAAAAAUAGAUGGUAAGUCACCUCACUAAGCUUCUUGUUAUUCAUUGUCAAGCUUGAAAUCACUACUAGAGGGAUGUCAAAAGGAAGCAUGUGCAGAUUGAUCCUAUGGCUUAUCAUGUCCCAAGAAUUCAUAUCUACCAGUCUCAAAUAGCUAAUGCACAAAGGACCUAUUCUCUGUUUACAAUUCGGGUGCACUAUCUGCAAUGCUUGUUCUAAGGUUUGCUAUGCCAACUUUUUUUCCUUCUUUUGAUGGCUACUUUAUUUCUUAUUUUACAUUCAAUUUGUUCCAAUUCUUAUUUUAUAAGUUAUGUAUUGUUGGUGCAUAUGGAAUGAGUAAAUUCACUUGCAUCAUUAUGUCUCUAUUAUUCAGGUAUGUCACUCCACUUCCUCUUCCCACCUCAAAACUCUUUAUAGCUUAGUUCUUCACUACAAAUUUCGUAAGAACUAUAAAAGCUCAAAUUCAACUAUUGUAUUUUAGUUGUUCAAAGCAAUAAAACAGCAAACAACAACUAGUUGAGUGAGCGGCUCGUACUACCGACUUGAAGUGCUUGAUUCAAUUUAUUGUUAGGUGCCUAAACAAGCCUUUAUAUAUAAUUCUUAACUGAAAAUGAGUAAUAUGAUGUUUAGUGUGGAUGUCCUCUUCUAUGACACGAGAGUAAUAAUUUCUUGUUGUUUUGCCCUUCUUUUGUUAGGAGGAAUUAUAUUGCCUAUUGCUAAGGGAAGAAGUUGCUAGAAUCUAAUACUGUGAAAGUGUAAAUUUUGGAGUUUCUUUGUAAUUGCAUUGUAAGAUCAUCUAAUCUCUAAGUGAAAAAACUCUUGGCUACAAUUGAAGCAUUCCAUUAUGUACAUAAUGUUGUUAGCUUUAUUGAUUUGGCAGGCUUAUUUCCCAAGUCUUGUAAUCAAGUUGUUGGUUCCAAUAUCGUUGAACAUUCAUGACAUAUAGAUCUUCUAAUUUGCAAGCUCCUAUGACAUCUGUCAAACUCAACAAAGGUUCAUUCGUAUCUCAAAAAUUGUUAUAGAUUCUACUUUUUAUGCAAUAGAUUUCAAAAAAUUAAUUCUUGUAUGAUUUUUUGUAGGAAAAAAGAUUGAGCUACAUAUUUGACCUCAAAGCAGAGAGAGUUAAUCAUUUUGAUGAGGUACAUAUGGUAAGCCUUCAUCAACAACUGUCACAUUGUUCUUUAUGAUAAUUUGUGUUUUCUUUUAGUUCAUUCUUAUACAAUUCCUUUAAUAUCGAAAUUAAAAAACAAAGUACAUAAUUUAUUGAGUUGGCUGUUGUAACAUAUAGUUAUGACAUUAUUCAUGUUCCAAAAUAAUGGAAAGCCAAUCCAAGAUGAUUGAUCUAUAUGUUCAAGAUGCUUGAAAGGAGUGUCAUGAGUCUUUUUAUGGUACCAUUUGCAUAUUAGUGUAAGAGUUAUUAUUCUUAAACUAACUUUUUUCUUCUUUUUUUAUUUUUGCGGAAUUAUAGGUGAGAAUCAAGUUUAAUCGAACUAUCCUUGGGACUGAUUUUUACUGGAAGAUAACCUCAUAUUUCAUAAUGUCAUUCAUUGUUGGCAUACAAAAGCUCAAUCAUUAAACAACUUAUGAAAUAAAAGGGUGGUCGAUUAAGAGAGGAAGAAUGGAUUCAAAAGUUGAUCUCCACUUCCCACGCUUUUGAAGGCUUCAAUCAUGACUCAAAGAACAAGUUGGUUUAUUUAAAGGUUUUGGAAUCUCCUUGCAUGUUGUGGAAGUGUAUUUAGCUUCUAAAUAAAAGUAGAAUUCAAAUCCAGUAUCAACUUUCAAUUACUACAAAUUGCCACUCAAAUCUCCUUACAACCUUUCUAUUAGUUGUUUCUUUAUGCUUCUUCAAUGAUACUAUUAACAUUAUUUUAUGUUACUUUUGAUGGAAUCAUUUUCUAAUAUUUGUCUAUUUGGAUAUUGUAAUUUUUGGAUGAAACAUGAGUUGUUUCUUCUACUCUUCUACUCUAUUGUACUUCAUCUUUCUUACAUGGGCAUGCCCAAGAUUCUUGUGAAUCAUGUAAAUUUAGUGAUUGUUGCUUAUAUUUGAUAUUAAGAUUUGUUUAUAAUUCUUUUUUUAAUAUUUAUUUUAUUUACUUUCUAAUACUUUGUUUUUAUUGGGGGCUUCUCUCAGGUUUGUGAUCAAAGUGAGAUGCAUGAAAUUUUAAAAUCCAAAUUAGGAAAGAAAUCAGUCUUCUAUAAUAUAUAUUGCAAUGAGAAACUAUGUUCUUUAAAGCUUUGGUACAACAUUAUUUUUUUCAAGGAAAAUUUUGAAAUUUUGUGUUUUAGAACUUAUUUUUAGAAAAUGUGAAAAACAUAAUAAAAAUGUUUGGACUAUAAUUCAAGAGGGUUGUAGUUAAUCUAAGUCUAACUUAAUCUCUUUUUUUAAAAAAAAAAAUAGGUUUAUCAAGUUGUCCAGGGUAAAAAUCUACAUUUUUUUUAACUUUAUUUAAUAUAUUUAUAUUAAAAUUAAAAUAAUUAAUGAGACUAUUUCAAGAUAAUAAUUAAAAAAUUAAAAAAUAAAUUUAUAUGUCUUUUUAGAAAAAUGAGAUAAGAGUAAUUACAAUUUAAUAUUUUUUUCCUAUAAAAUUAAAAAAUAAAUCAAAUGAAUAUUAUUAGUGUUGAGUUAUGUAAAACCUAAUUAUACCAUACACUUUCACCAUAACAAUGACCAACCUUCGUGGUGCUAAGGUUAGUGAGUGUGGGGGUUCCAGACAUAAACCCCAAUAGGUUGAGAUUAGGUUGUGGCCACAUGGAAAAUUGUAUAGUAUCAUUAGGUUACACUCAAUUUAAUAAACCUAAUCUUAUUUUUCUAAACUUAGGUUGAAAUUAAAUUAGUUAGAAUAUAUUCAAGGUGGUCGAAUUAAUUAAGUCAUGUAAUUCGUAAUCCAUUCAUAAUGUUUUUUUUCUUAUAUAUUUAUACCAAAAUCUAAAUAGUAAGUUGGAUACAAUUACGAUCCAAUAACAAAAAUGUAAAAAGAAAUUUAUAUAUCCUUAUAAAAAAUUAAAAAGUUAUAUAAUAGAAUUAUAAUUUGAUAUUUUUUUUCUUAAAAAUAAAAAAGAGAAUAAAUAAAAUGAACACUUUUAAUGUAAGAUUAUAUAAAUUAUAAAUAAUAUAAAAUUAUUAAAUUAGAUUCAUCAUCCAAACCUUAGUAUGAGUGUAACUCAAAUUAAGUUCAAAUCGAAAAAAACUUUACCUAAACUCAACAACUUUAAAAAUGAUUAUCUGCACCCGUCUAAAAGUAGGAUUUUUUUAGAGUCCUAUUUCUCUAUUUUUAACUUAAUUUUAUUUUUUUUCAACGGAAUUAUAGAUAAGGAUCAAGUUUAAUCAAACUAUCCUUGGGAUUGGCUUUUACUGGAAAACAACCUCAUACUUCAUAAUGGCAUUCAUUGUUGACACACAAAAGCUUAAUCAUUAAACAAUUUAUGAAAUAAGAGAAUGGUUGAUUAAAAGAUGAAGAAUGGAUUCAAAAAUUGAUCUCCACUUCUGGCACUUUUGGAAGCUUCAAUCAUGCCUCAACGAACCAUUUGGUUUAUUUAAAGCUUUUGGAAUCUCCUUGCAUGUUGUGGAAGUGUAUUUAGCUUCUAAAUAGAAGUAGAAUUCAAAUCCAGUAUCAACUUUCAAUUACUACAAAUUGCCACUCAAAUCUCCUUACAACAUUUCUAUUAGUUGUUCUUUUAUGUUUCUUCAAUGAUACAAUUAGCAUAAUUUUAUGUUACUUUGAUGGAAUCAUUUUCUAAUAUUUGUCUAUUUGGAGAUUGUAAUUUUUGGAUGAAACUUGAAUCUUUUCUUCUAUUCUUCUACUCUAUUGUACUUCAUCUUUCUUACAUGCAUGCCCAAGAUUCUUGAAAAUCAUGUCAAUUUAGUGUUUGUUGUUUGUAUUUGAUAUUAAUAUUUGUUUAAAAUUCUUGUUUUUAAUAUUUAUUUUCUAAUACUUGGUUUGUUUUUGUUUUUAUAAGGGGCUUCUCUCAUGUUUGUGAUCAAAGUGAGAUGUAUGAAUUUGAAAAUCCAAAUUAGAAAAGAAAAUCAAUCUUCUACAAUAUAUAUAGCAAUGAGAAACUAUUUUCUUUAAGGGAGAAUUAUGUUUUGGGGGUAGAUGGACCCCCAAAUUAACAAAAGGUCCAUGUAACUCUUCAAAUUGAGCCCAAGACCCAAUGAAAGUAUGGAAAUUGAGUUGAAGGAUAUCAUCCUUCAGUAUUUCCAAAAAUACCAUUUGUUAAUUUUGAGAAAAAAAAUUAAUAUUUUUUAAAAAUACUUUUAUUUAAUUUAAUAUUUUUUAUUUAAUUUAAUAUUUUUAAAAAAUACUUUUAUGUAAUUUAAUAUUUUUUAAAAUAAUUUUAUUUAAUUUAAUAUUUUUAAAAAAAAAUUUAAUUUAAUAUUUUUGAAAAAAAAUUAUUUAAUUUAAUAUUUUUGAAAACUACUUUUAUUUAAUUUAGUAUUUUUGAAAAAAAAAUUAUUGAAAAAAAAUUAUUUAACUUAAUUUUAUAAAAUAUUUUAUAUGUGUUCUUAAAGGGUAUAUUUGUCCGUUACUAUUUCAUAUCCUUCAACUCAAUUUGAAGAGUUAUAUGGGCAUUUUGUUAAUUUGGAGGUCCAUCUACCCCCAAAAAUAAUUCUCCCUUUCUUUAAAGCUUUGGUACAACACUUUCUUUUUUUUUGGAAAUUUUUUAAAUUUAGUGUUUUAGAACUUAUUUUUAGAAAAUGUAAAAAAACAUAGUAAAAAUGUUAGGGCUAUAAUUUGAUAGGGUUAUAGUCAAUCUAAGUCUAAUUCAAUCGCAUUUUUUUAAAACAAGUUUAUCAAGUUGUUAGCAAUGAAAAUCUACAUUCUUUUUUAACUUUAUUUGAUAUAUUUAUGUUAAAAUUUAAAUAAUUAAUGAGACUAUUUCAAGAUAAUAAUUAAACAUAAAAAAUAAAUUUUUAUAUCUUUCUAGAAAAAUGAAAUAAAGUAAUUAUAAUUUAAUAUUUUUUCCUUAUUAUUAAAUAAAUUAAUUAAUUAAAUAUUAUUAGUGUUGAGUUAUGUGAAGCCUAAUUAUACUACACACUUUUCACCAUAACAAUCGACUGACCUUCAUGGUGUUAAGGUCGACAUGUGUGGGGGUUUGAGGCAUAAGCCCCAAAAGAUUGAGAUUAGGUUGUAAUAGUAGAGAAAAGUUUAUAGUAUGAUUAGGCUCCACAUAAUUUAACAUAAUCUAAUUUUAUUUUUCUAAACUUAGGUUAAGAUUAGAUUGGUUGGAUUAUAUUUGGUUUGGUCAAAUUGAUCGAGUCUUAUAAUUCAUAAUCCAUUAGCAAUGGUUUUUUAUUUAUUAAUUUUUGUUUAUUUAUACCAAAAUAUAAAUUGUAAGUUGGAUACAAUGUCAAAAUAAUAACAAAAAUGUAAAAAUAAAUUUAAAUAUCUUUAUAAAAAAAGGUUAUAUAAUAGAAUUAUAUUUGAUAUUUUUUUCUCAAAAAUAAAAAGAGAGAAUAAAUAAAAUAAAUACUUUUAAUAAUAAAUUAUUAUUAUUAUUAUUAUUAUUAUUAUUAUUAUUAUUACAAACUUAAUUCAAUUGCACUCAACAUGAUUAAGCCUUUUUAUUUUCAUUUUUUAAAAUAAUAAAUCGUUUUCACUUUAAUUUUCAAGCAAAGAUUACAAAAUUUGAACACCAUUAUAAGCAAUUUUUAUUUAACCCUUCAAUAAGAAAGAAAAUUAAUCUAACAAUUUUUAAGAAAGCUUAUUUAUGAACUUCUCAAAUUAAUUUUUAUUAUAUUCUUCUUCCAAUCUAAACCAGCUAAUAGAUGCCCUUUUAUCCAUAUAAUAUUUUACAUGAGAUGUUCUUCUUGAUGCUGAGGAGCAGCAGGGCCAAAGCCAUGAAUUGCAGCAAGGAGGAAUAGCAAGGCAGGUAGGUGACUUUAUUGUGGGUAUUGGGGGGUUUAGGCAAGACCACCCUGAUGCAUGAAAUUUUAAAAUAGAAAUUAGGCAAGAAAAUUUAGUCUCCGGCAAUAUAUAUAGCAAUGAGACACAUAGAUGGUUGUCUGGGGUUUCUGGUUUGUAGAGAGAGAAAGGGAGGUUUAUAGAGAGAGAAGAUCGACUAGGUUGGGGUUUGAAAUUGAAUUUUGGGCAGGAUCCAAAACAGAUGGUAGAGAUUGGAUCCUGGGGAUCUGACAAUGGAGUUUGGAGUUUGAAUUUGUCAUAGGCUAUAACACACUGGCAAUGUUAAAGCCCAAAUUUAAUGGGCUGGGAUAUGUACUUCUCACUUUUGGGCUUUGGUCCAACAGCCCAACUUCUUUUAUUUUUUAAAAAUUAAUUAAAUACGUGAUUAAACAUAUCCUUUUUUUUUUUUAUCUAUUUGAUUAAUGGGAUAUAAUAUAAUUCAUGGUUUGGGAUCUUUGGUGCUUAUCAAAUUUUGUUCUUGGAUUUUUUUUAAAGUGGGACAAGUAAGUACAUACUUUUUACUUGAGGGGUAACUAGCAACUUUUCCAUAAUUAAAUUUUACAUGACUAUAAUAUAUUUAUUGGAAAUAAUUUUUUCUCCCUAAAAUUUUUUAUUUAAUUGCUACAAAAUAAUUUUAAUUAUUGAAAUUAUUUUAUUGUUACUCUAAUUAAAUUACGGUGGGCUUUGGGUUUGGGUUUUGGACAAACCUAAGGCCAACUUAAACCUAAUAUAUAUUUUACAUAAAUUUCAAACUAUACGUAUAUGAUAGUUUUGUUAUUUUGAGUGUCAUAAGGGAAUGAUAAGAAGCUGAGCUUGAAUUGGAUAGCUUGGAUUGGAUUCGACAAAUGAUAAGAAGUCGAGAUUCACUUUCUUUUCCUUUUUCUAAUAUAUUUCUUUCACUUUUCCUUUUUAGUUUUUUUAAUAAAAUUUCAUCCUACCCCACUUUCAAAAAUAAAAAGUUAAAAAAUGACUGGCUUGAGACUGUUCAAAAUCUAAUUUUUUUUUUUUAAAGGUGAGGAAGAUGAGUUAUGCUUUCUUUGUACAAGCCCACUCUUCACGUAGUUCCUUUUAUGAUAUACUAUCUAAUACUUUUUUCAUUAGUUUCCAUCUCCAUUAUCUUAAAAAUUCAAAUACAAAUUAUCAAAUUUACAAAAGGUAUAAACAAUUGUGAAAUAAUAAGAUGUUACCAAUGCUACAACAAUAUCCACAAUGAUAAUACUUCGAGUACUAUAAAUUUAUUAGCUUUAAUUUUUUUGUUCUUUUUAAUUUGUAAAGAAAUGCGGUGAUAUUAUACAAGUCUUUUUGUAAGGUGACUAAGGUUUUUCACACAUGAAACUAUACCAUAAAUGUAUAAACUAUUUAAAUAUAAAAAUUAAGGAUUAUGUUAAGUUCUUGGAUAUUACUAAGAAAUUGACAAAAAAAAAAUAGUUAGAAAAAUGAUUAAUUUUUUUAUAUCUGCAUGUUAUAGAAAAAUAUGAUGAAAACAUAUUAAGAAAAAUAGGAGAAAAUUGCUAAAAGUUUUCCCGACCUUUUUCCUUAUAUAAAGGUGAGUAAAACUUGAUGAAAGUGUAUUUCUUAAAAUUUUAAUUUUUUAUUUUUCUCUCAACUUUUUCAUGAAUAUGUUAUUAACAUAAAAAAAAAUAUAGUAAAAGGAAAAUAUGAUUUUACAAAAUUUAUCCAAAGUAAAAAAAUAAACGAUGCAUAAUAAUUUUCUUUUUUCCUGGCUUUAUUCUUACAAUUUACUUUUGAUGGAAGUAAAUUAUUUUGCGUCAACUCAAAUUCAGCCUUUUCAAAAAGUAAUGGGAAUCCAAUGAAUUUUUUCAAAUUCAUUUUAAUUUAUGACCCACCAUGUGAAGGAGUAAUCAUUUUCUAGGUGAUAGGAUUCCAAAUCAAUUAUUUCAAAUUCACAUUGCUUUAUAGCCCACUUUUUCAAAAGUUGCUAUCAUCAUUUCCUUGCAGGCUCUUUGCCCUGUCUCCCACUAAUUCCUUGGGAAAGAACAAGACUUCUUUCUUCCAAGCAUGCAAAUUCCAAAAUGAUAUUAUCUACUAUUUUAAAUCUAAGAACCCUACCUAUAUAUAUGUGAUGGGAUCCACUACUUUUCAAGCAGGCUCCCAACUUCCAUGGAAACUCUAGGGCCUCUCGACAUCUUUCUAUACAUUUAUUUAUUUUUUAAAACUAUUAUUUUCAUAACAUUGCUUUAAAGAAGUUGUUUUUUUUUCCAUAUUUUUCUAAAAUAAUAGUAAAAAAGUUUUGAUAUACUAUCUAAUACUUUUUUCAUUAGUUUCCAUCUCCACUAUCUUAAAAAUUCAAAUACAAAUUAUCAAAUUUACAAAAGGUAUAAACAAUUGUGAAAUAAUAUGUUACCAAUAUCCACAAUGAUAAUACUUCAAGUACUAUAAAUUUAUUAGCUUUGAUUUUUUUUCUUUUUAAUUUGUAAAUAAAUGUGGUGAUAUUAUACAAGUCUUUUUGUAACGCGACCCCCUUCUCGCGGUUAAGGUAACGACUUCGGGCAUGGCCAGCUCCCAUAGUGUGACGGGCGGUGUGUACAAGGCCCGGGAACGAAUUCACCGUUGUAUGGCUGAUCGACGAUUACUAGCAAUUCCGGCUUCAUGCAGGCGAGUUGCAGCCUGCAAUCCGAACUGAGGACGGGUUUGAAUUCCCGAUAGAAAGAGAUUUCGCGAACGCAAAAGCCUUUAAUGCGGCCCGUCAUCCCUUCCUUUUGGAAAGCUUUCCAUUCUUCCAAGUGAUGAAGCAAGGGAAGGCAGUAGUGGGGAAUUUUCCGCAAUGGGCGAAAGCCUGACGGAGGAAUGCCGCGUGGAGGUAGAAGGCCCACAGGUCGUGAUUAGGAUCAGAAUGACAAAUACAAUAGAUUUUAAACUAUACCAUAAAUGUAUAAACUAUUUAAAUAUAAAAAUUAAGGAUUAUGUUAAGUUCUUGGAUAUUACUAAGAAAUUGACAAAAAAAAUUGUUAGAAAAAUGAUUAAUUUUUUUAUAUCUGCAUGUUAUAGAAAAAUAUGGUGAAAACAUAUUAAGAAAAAUAGGAGAAAAUUGCUAAAAGUUUUCCUGACUUUUUUCCUUAUAUAAAGGUGAGUAAAACUUGAUGAAAGUGUAUUUCUUAAAAUUUUAAUUUUUUAUUUUUCUCUCAACUUUUUCAUGAAUAUGCUAUUAACAUAAAAAAAAAAUAUAGUAAAAGGAAAAUAUGAUUUUACAAAAUUUAUCCAAAGUAAAAAAAUAAACGGUGCAUAACAAUUUUCUUUUUUCUUGGCUUUAUUCUUAUAAUUUACUUUUGAUGGAAGUAAAUUAUUUUGGGUCAACUCAAAUUCAGCCUUUUCAAAAAGUAAUGGGAAUCCAAUGAAUUUUUUCAAAUUCAUUUUAAUUUAUAACCCACCAUGUGAAGGAGUAAUCAUUUUCUAGGUGAUAGGAUUCCAAAUCAAUUAUUUCAAAUUCACAUUGCUUUAUAGCCCACUUUUUCAAAAGUUGCUAUCAUCAUUUCCUUGCAGGCUCUUUGCCCUGUCUCCCACUAAUUCCUUUGGAAAGAACAAGACUUCUUUCUUCCAAGCAUGCAAAUUCCAAAAUGAUAUUAUCUACUAUUUUAAAUCUAAGAACCCUACCUAUAUAUAUGUGAUGGGAUCCACUACUUUUCAAGCAGGCUCCCAACUUCCAUGGAAACUCUAGGGCCUCUCGACAUCUUUUUAUACAUUUAUUUAUUUUUUAAAACUAUUAUUUUCAUAACAUUGCUUUAAAGAAGUUUUUUUUUUUCCAUAUUUUUCUAAAAUAAUAGUAAAAAAGUUUUGAAAAUUAAUUUCCUUUUUCUCACUUUUUUUUCAAUGGAUAUCUAGACAAAAGAAAUUUUUUUUAUAAAUUUUUCUUCUCCUUUUCUUUUAUUUUUAAAAUUUUUUACUUUAUUUUUAUUUUUUUCUAACUUUCUGAAAAUUGUUAUAUAAGCAGCCAAACAAGACUUCUUCCUUCCAAGCACGCAGACCAUAUUCCACAAUAAUAUGAUAUAUUAUAGGAAACUUCUAUGGUGCUGAGGGAGGUACCAUACCUCAGAUUUUUUAUAGUCGUUGGAUGCAAGAGUUUAAAUCUCAGCCAUUGAAAAGAAAAAGAAAAAAAGGAAAAAGGAAAACUGGCUACCUGUUGUCUCCCCCUCUCAGGCCAUUUUCCCGUUUGUUCCCUCUUUCCCGUUUGUUCCCUCUCUUCCCUCAUUUUCUACCUGUUCUCUCCCCCUCUUAGCCCCUCUCUCUUCUCCUCCAUAGUCGAGCGUCUUCUCCUCUAGCUGUGUCUCGUGCUCUCGUCUCCAGCUGUGUCUCGUGCUCUCAUCUCCACACUCCUCCAUAGCCGAGCGUCUUCAGCCCCUCUCUUCUCCUCCAUAGCCGAGCAUCUUCUCCUCCAGCCGUGUCUCGUGCUCUCAUCUCCAGCUGUGUCUCGUGCUCUCAUCCCCACACUCCUCCAUAGGCGGCCGUCUUGUCCUCCAUAGUCGGUUGUGUCCCCGUGCUCUGAUCUCCACUCAUUCUCGACAGCCGAGUCUAGAAAUCCUAUCUUCGGAAGAAACGCAAGAGGCAAAUGCGAGACAAUGAAGAAAUGAGGGAAAGAAAGCACUGAAGAAGGAGAUAGAGACCCCUCUCACGAUUAAUCUUCAGUCGAGUUUCUGUUUUCUCCAUUUUUUAUCGAGUUUGCCGAUAUUUUCCUCUCUUCUCCAUACUCGACUCUUCUCAGGUAUCUCCAUCGACUGUUAUUUUCAGGUGCUUUAAGUUGUCUUUGUGUAUUGUUGGAUGUUUUUGUGUUAUUGGGUGUUUUCGGGUAAGAUAUUGUAGCUGUUCCGGGGGACAUCUUUUUGAGUUCUGGCUUUUUUAGUAUCCCCUUUGAUUAUGUCCAUAUUUAGUUUUCAUAUUUGGGGUUUUUUCGGGUUUUGAAGUAAAGAGUACGAUAUUCCCGCUCCCUCCCUCCUAUCCAUAACCCUUGUAUUUUGUUCAUAUUUUAUAUUUUGUUUAAGGGGUGUUUUUGGCUUUUAAAUUUCCUGGUUUGAAGACCCGAAUUGAAGACAUAGCUGGAAGAAAAAGAAGAAAAAAUGUGAGUAUUGAUAAUGUGUUUUACAAUAUUAUAGCCAUUAUAUUUCAUGCUUUUUGUGAGAUUUAUAGAUUGAUGACAUUAAUGAAAAUAAUGUGGUUAGAUCCAUAAUUGUAGAUUGAAAAAGAUUGAUAUGCUAAAUUUGUGACCAUUUAAAAUGUACAUAGAUUUAGGGAAGAUUUUGUAGUGGUGGUGAAAGUAUGUUUGAUUUAUUAUAUUUGAAAUCAUAUUAUAAAAAUUGACUUAAAUGCUUUGAUUUAAUUUUUAGGAGCGAACGCGAUGGACUUGAAGUUGUUAGAAAUCCAAAGAGGCCUAUCGGCGCUUGGAUACAUUACUAGUAAGGGAAAAUAGAAAUAUGUAAAAUAAUAUGUUUUUUAAUGUAUUUUUUGUGGUUGUUAUUGUUAAAUUUGUUUGAAAUUGUUUUGUAGUAAUGAUCAAUUAGCCAUGAUGAAAGAGAAGGAUAAAGGAGUGAAGAUAAAUGAUGAUGUAAGGAGUAAUUUUGCUAGUCUAAUAUAAUUACAUUUUAAAAUUAGAAUUUAAAUUAUGUGACCAAUUAAUGUAGUUGAGGAAAAAAUUGGGCAAGAAGUGGAAUGCACUUUCAAAAGUAGAAAAAGAAAAUUUCAUGGCAAAGUCCAAAGAAAGUUCAAAACAAUAUUCACUUCAAAAGGGUGUAGUUCCAAAGGUAAUUUUUUUUUGUAAUGAAUAUUUAAUUUCUUUACUUAUGUAUUUGUUGGAAAUUAUAUUAAUGUAAACAUGUUUGAUGUUUGUGUAUCUUUUCAGUUAUAUCUUCAGACUCGAUGCUCCCCCGAGCGAGUUAUUAGAGUGAUUGAAAAUUUAGAACCAAAGCAAAAGGCAGCCAUAGAAGAAAUAGGAUUUGGUAGCCUCUUGCAACUUCGAUGUAGGAAAAUUGAUCAUGGGUUAUGUCUUUGGUUGAUAAAUAGUUUUAAUCCGAACACUUAUAUGUUACAGUUGUAUAAUACUUGUAUCAAAUUAUCCCCCAUUGAUGUUGAAUUCAUUAUGGGAUUGAGGGCAAGAGGGUUCAAGAUUGGCAUGAACAAAGAUGUUGGUCAUAAGAAUGAUUUAUGUAAAAAAUAUUGUGAUAAAAAAGGGCGAUUGCCAUUAGUGAUGUUAGAAAAUCAAAUUAGGGAGGAUAAAGAGGGUGGAAACGAUUUUAAAGUUCGUUUUGUAUUAUUUGUGUUGGGUGCAUUAUUGUGCCCAACAAUGAAGCUUUUUGUGAAUCGCUCUUUCUUACAUCUUGUGGAAGACAUCGAUUAAUUAAAGAAGAUGAAUUGGGCAGAAUUUGUGUUGUCCUAUCUUGUGCACGGGAUUGAAGAGUUUAAGAAGAAACAACAAAGUGGGGUUUACGGUUGCUUAUUGUUUUUAAUGGUAAUUAAUUUACAUCAUAGUGAAUUACGAUUUUGUUUUAAUAUAAUUUAUGAACUAACUAUAUAUCUAUGUCAAAUAUACUCGUAGUUAUUCUACCACGAGCAUAUAUCGUUUGAAGAGAAAUUUCUACCGCUAUAUACUUGACUUUCUCCUCGGAUUACUGCUUGGGGAGAUGAUGAAGUAUUGGACAGGAAACGAAGAUUGAAAAAACUUAGUGGAUAUGCAAAUGAGAAUGUAAGUUAUAGUUUUGAAAGUCGUUUGCUAUUGAUUUAAGUUUUUAGUGAUUUAAAAUCUGAUAUGUAUUAUAUUUUGAUGAAUAUAUUGUAGCUCAAAAUAUGGGUGAUAGAAAAUGAGAUAAGGGAUUGCGUUGAUGGAAAUGCAACGAUAAUGGCGAGUGAGAAUGAGGACGAUGAGAAAUUUGUAUCCAAUCUAAACAAAGAUGUUAUUAAACGAAUAAGUGUUUUACAAUAUUCAUCGUGACUAUCUAUAUUAGCAUUGAACCUUUGUAUUAUGAUGUUAUUAAUCACGUUCGUAUAUAUCACUAGGUUGAUGGUGGGAACUUAAUGGAGAUGGAUAAAACCUUUCAACAAUUAAAGACACAUCUAAUUGAUAUGGCGUAUGGUGCAAGUAGUCGUAGUUGUGAUCAAAUUUUGGCUAAAUUUGAGGAGAAUUAUACUACAGUGAAAGGUCUCUUCCUUAGGUCAAGCGGAAAACCUUUGAGAAUGCACGAGGAAGGAACGAAGAAUGACAUGCUCUCAUGCGAGAGAAGUUUGGAAGAUACGAACAAUAUGAAUGUGAAUGAACAUUAUCUUCACACUUUGUCAAAUGACAAGUUAUGCACCGAGGACUUGAAUGAAAGAAUGAGAUGCAUGUGCUACNNNNNNNNNNNNNNNNNNNNNNNNNNNNNNNNNNNNNNNNNNNNNNNNNNNNNNNNNNNNNNNNNNNNNNNNNNNNNNNNNNNNNNNNNNNNNNNNNNNNNNNNNNNNNNNNNNNNNNNNNAAUACUAAAAAAUUCACAAGGGUACGAAGAAUGUGAGGAAUCCUCACAUUCUUCGUACACUCCCAAAUCUCCAUUUCUUUGGACUUUUUAAAAUUUUUUGGGGCUUCAUAUGGCUUGGAUGUUGCUUGAAUAGGUCCGUUACACUUAGAAGGUGGUCAAAUGAUAUCCGAAAAAAUCGAAAUCCAAAAAUACUAAAAAAUUCCCUCACAUUCUUCGUACCCUCCCAAAUCUCCAUUUAUUUGGACUUUUUAAAAUUUUUUGGUGCUUCAUAUAAUAGGUCCGUUACACUUAGAAGGUGGUCAAAUGAUAUCCGGAAAAAUCAAAAUCCAAAAAUACUAAAAAAUUCACGAGGGUACGAAGAAUGUGAGGAUUCCUCACAUUCUUCGUACCCUCCCAAUCUCCAUUUCUUUGGACUUUUUAAAAUUUUUUGGGGCUUCAUAUGGCUUGGAUGUUGCUUGAAUAGGUCCAUUACACUUAGAAGGUGGUCAAAUGAUAUCCGGAAAAAUCAAAAUCCAAAAAUACUAAAAAAUUCACAAGGGUACGAAGAAUGUGAGGAAUCCUUACAUUCUUCGUACCCUCCCAAAUUUCCACUUCUUUCGACUUUUUAAAAUUUUUUGCGCCAUCAUAUGGCUUGAAUGUUGCUUGAAUAGGUCCGUUACACGUAGAAGGUGGUCAAAUGAUAUCCGUAAAAAUCAAAAUGGAAAAAUACUAAAAAAUUCACAAGGGUACGAAGAAUGUGAGGAAUCCUCACAUUCUUCGUACCCUCCCAAAUCUCCACUUCUUUGGACUUGUUAAAAUUUUUUGGGCCAUCAUAUGGCUUGAAUGUUGCUUGAAUAGGUCCGUUACACUUAGAAGGUGGUCAAUGACAUCCGGAAAAAUCGAAAUCGAAAAUACUAAAAAAUUCACAAGGGUACAAAGAAUGUGAGGAAUCCUCACAUUCUUCGUACCCUCCCAAUCUCNCUUCUUUGGACUUUUAAAUUUUUUGGACAUCAUAUGGUUGGAUGUUGCUUGAAUAGGUCCGUUACACUUAGAAGGUGGUCAAAUGAUAUCCGGAAAAAUCAAAAUCCAAAAAUACUAAAAAAAUUCAAAAGGAUACAAAGAAUGUGAGGAAUCCUCACAUUCUUCAUACCCUCCAAAAUCUCCAUUUCUUUGGACUUUUUAANNNNNNNNNNNNNNNNNNNNNNNNNNNNNNNNNNNNNNNNNNNNNNNNNNNNNNNNNNNNNNNNNNNNNNNNNNNNNNNNNNNNNNNNNNNNNNNNNNNNUCAAAUGAUAUCCGGAAAAAUCGAAAUCCAAAAAUACUAAAAAAUUCACAAGGGUACGAAGAAUGUGAGGAAUCCUCACAUUCUUCGUACCCUCCCAAAUCUCCACUUCUUUGGACUUUUUAAAAUUUCUUGGGCCAUCAUAUGGCUUGGAUGUGUGCUUGAAUAGGUCUGUUACACUUAGAAGGUGGUCAAAUGAUAUCCGGAAAAAUCGAAAUCCAAAAAUACUAAAAAAUUCACAAAGGUACGAAGAAUGUGAGGAAUCCUCACAUUCUUCGUACCCUCCCAAAUCUCCACUUCUUUGGACUUUUUAAAAUUUUUUGGGUCAUCAUAUGGCUUGGAUGUUGCUUGAAUAGGUUGAUUCCACUUAGGCGGUGUUCGAAUAAGUCCCGAAAAAUUAAAAGCUAAAAAUACUAAAAAAUUAGAAAAGGUCCGAAGAAUGUGAGGAUUCCUCACAUUCUUCGUACCGUCCCAAAUCUUCACUUAUUUGAAGUUUUAAAAAUUUUGUUGGACUUCAUAUGCCUUGGAUAUUGUCUAAAUAGGUUGAGUCCACUUAGGUGGUGUUCGAAUGAGUCCUGGUAAAAUUAAAAGCCAAAAAUAUUAAAAAAUUAGAUAAGGUACACAGAAUGUGAGGAAUCCUCACAUUCUUCAUACUCUCCCAAAUCUCCACUUCUUUGAAGUUUUAAAAUUUUUUUGGACUUCAUUUGCCUUGGAUAUUGUUUAAAUAGGUUGAUUCCACUUAGGCGGUGUUUGAAUGAGUCCUGGAAAAAUCCAAAUCCAAAAAUAUUAUAAAAUUGGACGGGGUACGAAGACUGUAAGAAAUCCUCACCAUUUUCCGCUUGUAUGAGGGUGUGAAAUGGAUUCUUCAAAAUUCAAAAUGGAAAUAUACGAAAAAAUAUUGUGAGGCGUUUUGAUUUCCAUAUGGUUAGUAAUUAUACAUUUUUCGUAUUUUCAAUAUUUCAAUUAAUUUUUUUGUGUAAUUCAAUUUAAACGCUAAGAAAUAAUUUGGUCAUAUAUUAUCAAUUAAUAAUUAGUACACAAUUAAUUUAAUAUAAAUUUAAUAUUUAUAUUUUAUAUCAUUUAUUUAUAUUUUUUCUUUUUUUUUCACUUCAUAAACAAAUUAUAUUGCUUUUCACACUUCAAAUAUUUUUCAAAUUUUGUCAACAAAUUAUUUGAUGUUAAAAUAAAGUAUAUUUACUUUUCCUUAAUUUAUAAAUUUUAUCACCAAAUUAGUUUGAAUUUUUUUUAUUUAAAAUUUAAUUUUUAUCUUGGGUUUAAUCACUUUAUAUUACAAAAAAAAAUGCUAUUUAUUUUUUCAAAUUUCUCUUUAUUUUUCUGUUGCACAAAAAAAAUUCCCCAAACAAAAUAAUUACAUUAAACAGGAAUUUAUAAUUGGUUGUUGUAAUGGAUGUAAAAAUGUGUGUUGCAUGGGAUUAAUUCCCAUGGCAACCGGUUACCAACCUGAAGAAUUGGUUUUGUAUAUUAUUUUUCCAUGCCAUGUGUCUUCAUCUUGUGAGUCCAAAAAAGUGGGUAUGGUACCGAAAAACCACUUUUCGGUACCCUAGCAUAACCCUAUAUUAUAUAAGCAAGCAUGCAGACCAUGUUCCACAAUAAUAUCAUAUAUUAUAUAAGCAGCCAAACAAGACUUCUUCCUUCCAAGCAUGCAGACCAUAUUCCGCAAUAAUAUCAUAUAUUAUAUAAGCAGCCAAACAAGACUUCUUCCUUCCAAGCAAGCAAACCAUAUUCGACAAUAAUAGUUAAUAUUAUAUAAGCAUAAGUUCUUCUAUGUUUCCUUCUUCAUUGACGAGGUUGACAUGAUUUUUUAUGUUUUUUGUUGAGAUUGUAAUUUUUAGAUUAAACAUGAAAUGUUUUCUUACAUUCUAUUUACUUUUCUUCACUAUUGGUAGCAAAUUUUAUUUUUCUAUCCCGAUGGAAAUACCUAAUAUUGUUAUGAAUCAUGAAAAAUCAUAUCAAUCUCAUAUUUGUUGUUUGUGCUUGAUAGUAGGAUUUUCUUAAAUUUUGCAUUUUAAAUAUUUUUUUUUGGACUUCCCUCAUGUCUAGUACCCUACUUAAAAAUAAAAUAAAAUAAAAUAAAAAUAAAAAACAAUUAUUAACUUAAAAUUCUUCCAUAUUUAACCAUUUUUAAAAUGCGAGAAUUAAGCAAAUUGAGUAAUAUUCUCUUUGUUAGUUUUUAAGUGCUAAUCAAUUGAAGGUAAUCAUUCGGAAGGGGAGUGAAGUGGGGAUGGUCACUUUUUCAAAAUUUAAUAAUUAUAAAUACACAUAAAAUAUAAAUAAUAAUAUAAUAAAUCAAUAUAAGGAUAAUUUUCAAAUAAAUAAAGUAUGGAGGGGGACAUGCAAAUACUAAUUUUUAUAAUGGUUUAGCGUAACUUGACUUACACUUAUAUUCACCCUCCUCAAAUUCCAACCGAGUGAAUAUUCAACUAAUAAGGCUUCCAACUAAGCCUUCAAACUUAACCCAAUAAGAUAUAAUAUGCAAAGAAAUAUUGAAGUAAUAAUACUAAACAAAUCUCUUUAUAAAGUAGUUAGGAUUUCACAGAUGUACUAUUCGCAAUAAUAUUAUAACAUUGUAGGAAAAAAUUAAGGGAUUUUCAAUAGAUAAUUCUCAAAAACAAAGGUGAUUAAUUGUGUUUACAAGAAAAAAAAAUUAUUAUUUCUCUUCAAAAAUGAGCUUAACAAGGGACCCUUUUUUUUUUUGUCAAAAUUAGAAUAGAGUUUGAACACAUUAUUUGAAUCAACAUCUUUCCAAAAGUCAAGAGUGAUGGAAGGCAAAACCCAUCACUUGGUUGGCUGAUUCUUACCUAAUCAAAUGAACUACUCUUAUACAUUGUUUCUAGAAAGAAGUCUAAGAAAAUGUAUGGCACAAUGCAUGUGAUGGGAUCCACCACUUCUAGAGCAAAGUCUCAACUUCCAUGUGAACUCUAAGACCUCUCAAAAUCUUUUUUUUUUUUAUUAUUAUAUUUUUAAAUUAUUAUUUUCACAACAUUAAUUGCUUUAAUAUUUAAUGUUCCUUUCUCCUCUUUUUCUUUGAUAAUAGUGAAAUAUAUAUAUGAAAGCAUGUCUUCGUCAAUAAUUUAACUUUAGUUUUUCCAUUUUUAUGGAUAUCCAAAUAAUAAAAAAAUUAUGAUUUUUUGUUUCUCUCUUUUUCCCUAUAAUUUUUUAAUUUAUUUUUAUUUUCUCUAACUUUCUGAAAACAAAAUAUAACCUAAAUUUUUAUAUAGUCAAUUUGCAGCUAUGGGCAUAUGUCUUGUUUUAGAGUUUUUUAUGACAAUAUUUAAAUUAGCCUUGAAAUUUGGAAGUUAAUCCUAAAUUUUAGGUUGCGAAAGACCACAUUUUCUAUAAGCCCAACUAAAUAGAAACACAAAAAUAAUUCAUAUAGGUUCACUCAAAUUGAAUAAAACUCAUAUUUAAAAUAAGUUGAAUAAAAAAAACUUAAAUACAAUUGUCAUCACAAUAUUACAAAAAUGAGCUUAACAAGAGACUCUAUUUUUUCUUUUUCAAAAUAAACAAAUUUAAGAAGGAGAUUUAAUGCAUUAUUUGAAUCAACAUGUUACCAAAAAUUAAAAUCAAAAAUAAAAAUACAAAGAAUAAAAAGUUAAGAGUGAUGGUACACAAAACCCCACUAUUUGAUUGGUUGGUUUCUAUCUAAUCAAAUGCAUUAUUGUUGGGAUAAAAGAACCCUACCGGUAUGUGUAACGCCCAAGUUUUCAUUUUAAAGGGUAAUUUAGGAAAUUCUUAAUAAUGAUAUUAAAUUAAUUAAUUAAUUAAUUUAAUAAAAUGGAAGAGGGGUGAAAAGGUAAUUUUACGAAUAAUACCCUAGGUAUAAAUAGAAAAUUAUCUUCUUCCUGUUCUUUUUUGAAUCAUAUUCCUGUUCGCAGAGAAUUUCUAGAGAACGUGAAGUUAAGAUCAGAUUUCAAGGUUUGAAGAACAAACCUCUAUAGGUAAGUUUCUAACCUCUAUAUUAUUAUUUUAGAUUCAUUAGUUAAUUUCAAGCACAUUAGAUAUAUUUUUUUUGGAAAACCCCAAAUCUAGAUUAGGGUUAGAUUAUUUUUUUUUUAAUUCGUUUUAAUAUUAAAUAGUGAAAAUUUAAUAUUUUGAUUUAUUAUUGGAAUUGGGGAGAUCUUAAGUUUUUUUUUAUUAGAAAAAAAGAAAAUUCCUAUGAAAAUUUCGAUUUAGAUUAGGGUUAGUUUAUUAUUAUUAUUAUUAUUAUUAUUUCGUUUUAAUAUCAAAAUAGUAAAAAUUUAAGAUUUUGAUUUAUUAUUGGAAAUUGGAAAUUCUUAAGCUUUUAGAAAAAAAAAAAAAAAAACCUGGAAGAUGCGUGUGCACACUGUAGAAUUGGAGAAUGGUUUAAGGAUUAAAAGAAAAAAAUAGAGGACGCGUGUGCUCACUGGAAUUGGAGAAUGAAAAAAAAAUAAUAUAUUAUAUAUAUGGGUGUGGGUGUGUGUACGGAUGGAGGGAUGGGUGGUGUUUGGUAGUUAAUGUACAUAUAUGUAUAUAUAUUAUUAUAUUGACAAUGGAUAAAGUUUAUGUUUAAAAAAAAAAAAAAAGAGAAUAGAAGUUUUAAAUAAAAGAAAGUAAAGUUUUUUUUGGUAUUAUAAUUAUACUAAUAAUGAGUAUAAGUUAAUAAAUAACAUAGAAAUUAAUUAGUGAAAUAAAUUAUAGUUUAAUUAAAUUAAGUUGUGUCCCAAAAAAAAAAAAAAUUAAUUUGAAUACCUAAAAUUUUAGGAUUGACAAACCUGUAAUUUUAGAUAAAUAGUAAUGGUUAUUUCUCUUAUAUUUGUUAGGUGAAGAGUAGAUUUUCAGGAUUAUUUUUCUCCAAAGUUUUUGAGGACUUCUUUUGAGGUAAGGGAAGUUAAUGUAAUAUUUAUAAAAUUAAAUUAUUUCAUAUGUUAUUUUGAAUUGUGGAAAAUAAAAUGAUAUUUUGUUACCAUGCAUGGAUCAAAUUGUUUUGCACUAAAUGUUAUGUUGGAAUAUUUUGUUUUAUUUAUGACACAAAAUAUGGAGAUAUUAUGUUGUGUAAAUUUGAAUACUUGAACAAAAACAUCACUCUGGUUUAUUUGGCCCUUGUCAACGGGAUAUAAUAAUUGACUAUUUGGCCCUAUCAACGGGAUAUAAUAAUUGACCUUUACAUUUCAUGGUGGGAAUGUAAUUGAUUUGGACCCCAGCCUCUAGGGGUUUGGUUAGAGGUUACUAGUACUAGUAGCGUUUGGUUCCGUCCACCAGGAACAAUUUGAGGCUAGCCACCCAUUUGAAAAGUCCCACCUAACUGGGCAUUUGAUAUUUGAUAACCAGAGUAAUGAAACUUGAAUGAAUUUGAUUGAAUCUUAUGUGAAAGUGUUUGAAUUUGAUAUGAAAUUGGUUGGUUGAAUUUUGAAUAUAUUGGUAUUUUUGGAACUCUGAUAUUUGAUAAGAAAAAAAAAAUUUAUAUCUCCUAUUUGAAAUGAAAAUAUUUGAUCCAUGAAUUGCAUUAAUAUUCCUUAUUGGGCUGUGAGCUCAUUCCCAAUUGUUGAAAAUUUUCAGGUACUCUUAGUUCGGGUGAGGAGUGAUGGCUAGGCUGAAGAAUGGUCAUCAUUAGGAUUUGACUUAGGAUUUUAUGUUGGAUUUUGUUUAACUGUUAGUUAUGUUCAUUUGGAUCAUUUGAUAUUUGAAAGUUAUUUGGAAAUUGAAUUUUGAGGAAUUUAGAUUUUGUUCCGCUACUCUGAACAAGUAUUUGGUAAUUGGUAACAUCUAGUUACAAUAUGAUUGUUCGGGUCAGAUUAUACUUUAAGCCUUCGGGUUUGAGGUGUGAAAUGACCGUCACGCCCUUGGAGUGGGUCUUGGGGCGUGACAGUAUGUGAUGGGAUCCACUACUUUUGGAGUGAACUCCUGUAAACUCUGGCUGCUCAACAUUUCUUUAUCCUUAUUUUAAAAAAUUUAACUAUUAUUUUCACAACAUUGCUUGAAGGAAGUUGUUUUUUUUCAUAUUUUUCUUAGAUAAUAAUAAAAAAGUUUGGAAAAAGUUCCUUCCUCAAUAGUUCAUUUUUCUUUAAUUUUCUCAUUUUUCCUUUUCAUUAUUUAAUUUUGAUGAAAACAAAAUGAUAGCAUCCAUCGGAACACCAUUUUUAUGUCUAUUUGUCUUAGGGUAAGUGCUAUUGCAUUUCUAUGUAUAUUUGGUUUUAUUUCAUAUGACUCAAUUUACAUAAAACCUAUAGUUAAAAUAAGUUGACCAGAAAAAAAGGGGGUAAACACAAUUGCUAUCAUGAUAUUACAAAAAUAAAGUUUAACAAGUGACCUUAUUUUUUCUUUGUCAAAUUAAGAAAAGAUAUUUAGUGUAUUAUUUGAACUAAUCAAAUGCAUUAUUGUUAGGACAAAAGAACCCUAUAUGUGAUGGGAUCCACUACUUUUUGAGCUGACUCCCAACUUCCAUGUAAAGUCUAGGGCCUCUCGACAUUUUUUUAUGCAUUCACUUGUUUUUAUUUUUGUUUUUAUUUUUAACUAUUAUUUUCACAACAUUGCUGUAAAGAAGUUGUUUUUCUUUUCAUAUUUUUCUUAGAUAAUAGUAAAAAAGUUUGAAAAAAGUGGCUUCUUCAACAGCUUAAUUUUUUUUUUCUCACAUUUUCAAUGGAUAUCUAGACCAAAGAAAUUCUUUUAUAAAUUUUUCUUCUCAUUUUCUUUUAUCUUUUAUCUUUUUUAACAUUUUUUUUCAACCUUUUAAAAACUAAAUAUAACCUAAAGAAAAUAAUAAUAAAUAUAAAAACAAAUACAUAAGGAAAGACUUUUAACAUAAUUUUUUAUUAUAAAAAUCAUUGAAGUGCACAAAUAAACCUAUAUAUAAAUGAUUGGGAAGCUGGAAUCCUUUGUUCUCAAGAAUCUUUAAUGAUUGGGAAAUGGAAGAGGUGGAGGGCUUGCUUCAAAAAAUACACCCUCUGGUUUUGCAUAGUGAUGUGGAGGAUGUUUUAAGCUGGAAGAUUGGUAAGAAUGACUCUUUCUCUGUUAGAUCUUGAAAAUGUGAAUCUCAAUAAUGAACUACACCUAGAGGGGGGUGAAUAGGUGUUGUAGAACAAUUUUAAAAUUCUCCCAAUAAAGAUUACCUAACCUUAAUAAAACAUCCACAAGCAACAAUGUAUGCAUCAACACUCUCCCAACAAUUUAUAAAUGCAAAACACAUGCAAAUGCUUCAACACUCCUCAAAAAUAAAACAAAAUAUAGAGUGAGAGAAAGAGACACCAGAUUUUUAACGUGGAAAACCUCCGAAGAGAUCAAAAACCACGGGCCUAUCACCGAUUGAAAACUCCACUAUGAAGAAUAAAAAACUGAGUACAAGGUUUUACCUAGCUCAAGCCAACCAAUCCUUCCCGGAAUACUUGACUAGUACCUUCAUUUUCAGCUUCUCCUUUUGGAGCACACUUGGAGUCCGCACCAAGCUCAAUCUCGGCCUCUUCUUGAAUCCACACAAGAAGAAAAUGGGUUUUUGCACAACCCAAAUAGAAUGAGAGAUUUAGAUGUGAAUGAAAGAAUGAAUCAACCCAUUUAUUGCUCAAGAAAAUCCAUUGAAAACAAGUUUUGAAAACAUUAAGAGAAGUUGAUUUUCUUUGCAAUCAAAAACCCCAACUUAGGAAAGCAAAAAUGAGAAAUGAAGAACACUUGGGAGUGUGGCUGCUCUCCCCACGUUUUCAGCAGUCUCUCUACACAGAAAAUGAGAGAAGAUUGGGUUUUAAAGUGUAAAAAGAAACCCUUAAUCUAAUGGCUGAGAUUUGAUCAAAAAAACAUUAGUUGGAUAGAUCCACCCCUACACCUGGAUCGAUCCAGAAACAGAGGAAUAAAAGCCUUGCACCAAAAACCAUUUUUUCCAACUUUCUAACACAUUUUAAAGAUUAAAAACCGGGUUGAUUCACACCCAAUCACUCCACACUCGACUACAUACCUUGGCCUCUUAGCAAAGUCUUAGUCUUCAAAGUCAAGUAGUCCGAAUAGGAAUAGGAAAGCCGAGUUAGGGGACACUUAGGAAUUUUGUCCGGAAUUGCCAACCUAGCUAAACACUCACAGAUCUCUCUACCAAUCCCUCACAACUACCUCUAGUGAACCUUUUCCUUGGAGCAUCAUUUGGAGAUCUUGGGCACCCGUGAGAGUUAGUUUUUUUGCUUGGGAAGCGUCUUGGAACCGAAUUUUGACCACUGAUCAGCUUAAAAGAAGGGGCUGGAUACUAUCAAAUAGAUGUUAUUUGUGUAAAAUGGAAGAGGAAACUAGCGACCACUUGUUCCUAUUCUGCAAGAAGGCUAUAAUGUUAUGGAGCUUGCUUUUCUCCCUUUUUGACGUGCAGUGGGUCCUACAUUCCUCAAUCAAAAGGAAUUUGAUAGCUUGACAUGGUGCUUCUAUGAGCAAGGGAAAGGAAAAAGCUUGGAGGGUUGCUCCCCUUUGUUUAAUGUGGAUAUUAUGGAGGGAGAGAAAUGAAAGAGUGUUCAAUAACAAUGAACGUACCGACCAAGCUCUAAAACUCUCUUUUUUGUACACUUUUGUGAAUUGGGGUAGGGUAUAUUUAGAGAAUCAUUCUUUGUCAUUGUUUGACUUUAUAGAAUGACUUUUGUCUAGAUAAAAUAAAGGUUUUUCUUUUUGGCUUAAAUCCUUGGGCGUUACUUGUAUACUUCGUGUCUACUCUUUUCGCCUUUCUAGGCUUUUAUAAUACAUCCUCUUAUUUGCCUAUAAAAAAAAAACACCUAUAUAUAAAUGAACUUUCAUUGUUUUAAACGUUAAUUAUUAUUGAUAUAACAAAAUGUAGUAUAAAGAAAAUAUAAUUUUACAAAAUUUAUCCAUUAAUCCAAAUGAAUAAGAAUUAAAUGGUGUAAAACAAUUUUCUAUUUUUGAUUAUUUUAUUUUAUUUUAUCUCAUUAUUAAAUUUUGAUGGUAGAAAAAUGGUGGCAUCCAAGAGAACACUAUUUCUAUGUCUAUUUGUUUUACGGUAAGUAAGUGUUAUUAGUGCAUUCCAAAUAAAAUAUAAAAAAAUUUAAUAAUGUUUAUUGCUAGAUUUAAAUUUGACAUAACCAAUAUGCAGUUAUAAACAUAUCUUUAUUGUUUUAGAACUUUUUAACCUUGAAAUUUUGAAUUUAUCCUAAAUUUUACAUGGGGUAAGACUAUAUUUUCAUAAGCUCAAUUAAAUAAAUGCACCAAAAUUUUUUGUUUGAGGUUAACUCAAAUUCAACUAUUUAAAGAAGUAACGGCAAUUCAAAUAAUUUUUUCCAAAUUCAUUUUAAUUUAUAACCCACCUUCUAAAGGAGUUCUCGAUUUCUACCAAUUACUUCAAAUUUACCUUAUUUUAUAUCCCAUAUUUUCAGAAGUCAAUUUACUUCCAACCACACAGAUCCCACGAUAAUAUUAUAUGUCAUCUUAAAUCCAUAUCCAUUUGAUUGGUAGGAUAUUAUCUCUUCAUUUUUAUUUUUUUUUUAAGUUGACGUUGACUCAAGUCAAUCCCCUCUCUCCAUAUAUAGAUGUAUCAGUCUGAGAUCACUUACAGCCUUCUGAUCGUCUCUCAUCGUCUCUCUAGCUACACUUCCGUUCCAUCUACUUUCCAUCCUCUGCAGUAUUAUUUUCUUUGCUAUUUCAAAUAUGGCUGAACAAAUUCCAUUCGGUAUUGCUGAGAACCUUUUGAUGAAGCUGGGCUCUGCUGUUUUCCAUGAAAUUGGAUUAAUGUAUGGUGUCCGAGGUGAGCUGAGUAAGCUUAAGGAGAAACUGUCCACCGUCGGAGCUGUGCUUCUUGAUGCUGAGGAGAAGCAGGAGAGCAGCUGCGCAGUAGCAGAUUGGGUCAGGAGGCUUAAAGAUGUUGUGUAUGAUGCUGAUGACUUGUUGGACGACUUUGCAACCGAAGACUUGAGGAGAAAGACUGAUGAUCGUGGAAGAUUUGCGGCACAAGUGAGUGACUUCUUCUCACCUUCGAAUCAACUUGCUUUUCGAUUUAAGAUGGCUCAUGGAAUAAAGGCUAUUAGAGAAAGGCUAGAUGAUAUUGCAAAUGAUAUCUCCAAGUUCAAUUUAAUUUCCAGAGUUAUGUCUGAUGUCCGGGUAAGGAAUAAUGGGAGGGAGACGUGCUCUGUUGUGGAGAAAUCUCAUAAAAUUGUGGGUAGAGAAGAAAACAAAAGGGAGAUAAUAGAGUUGUUGAUGCAAUCAAGUACUCAAGAAAAUCUGUCAAUGGUUGUGAUUGUAGGCAUGGGGGGCUUAGGCAAGACCACCCUUGCUCAGUUGGUAUACAACGACCAAGGGGUGGUAAGCUAUUUUAAUCUUAGCAUGUGGGUCUGUGUUUCCGUUGAUUUCGAUGUUGAAGUACUCGUUAAAAACAUCUUAAUGUCUGCGACUAAUGAAGAUGUGGGAAACCUACGCUUAGAACAAUUGCAAAAACGUCUGCAAGAAAAGUUAGAUGGGAAGAGGUACUUGCUUGUGUUAGAUGAUGUCUGGAACGAGGACAAAAGGAAAUGGGGUCAGUUCAUAACCUUAUUGCCUGUUGGUGCAAAUGGGAGUAAAAUCUUGGUGACCACUCGAAGCACAAGAGUUGCAUCAGUUAUAGGAAUUGAUUCCCCAUAUAUUGUGGAAGGUCUUAAAGAUGACGAGUCUUGGGAUUUGUUUGAAAGUCUUGCAUUUAAAAAGGCAGAAGAGCAAAUGCACCCAAACCUUGUAGCCAUAGGAAAAGAUAUUGUAAAGAUGUGCAAAGGAGUUCCUCUUAUCAUCGAGACUUUAGGCAGAAUGUUGUACUUCAAAACCCAAGAAAGCCAUUGGUUGAGCAUUAAAAAAAAUAAAAAUCUUGUACAUCUUGGAGAAAAAAAUGAUAUUUUACCGAUAUUGAGGUUAAGCUAUGACAAUCUCCCCGUCCAUUUGAAACAAUGUUUUGCCUAUUGUGCAUUGUUUCCCAAAGAUUAUAUAAUUAAAAAAAAGUUGUUAGUACAACUAUGGAUGGCACAAGGUUACCUUCAACCAUAUGAUGAGAAUAUAGAUUUAGAGGAUGUUGGUAAUCAAUAUUUUGAAGAUUUAUUGUCAAGGUCAUUGUUUCAAAAAGUUGAAAAUAAAUAUGAUAACAAUAUGUUAAGUUAUAAAGUGCAUGACUUAAUUCAUGAUCUUGCACAAUCCAUUGUAAAUUCGGAGGUUAUCAUUGUUACUGAUGAUGUGAAGAUCAUUUCACAAAGAAUUCAUCAUGUGUCAUUAUUUACAAAACACAAUGAAAUGCUCAAGGGUUUAAUGGGCAAAUCCAUCAGGACUUUCUUUAUGGACGCCGGCUUUGUGGAUGAUCAUGAUAGUUCUAUAACUAGACUCCUUUCAAGCUUAAAAGGUUUGCGGGUAAUGAAGAUGAGUUUCUUCUUACGACAUAAGGCUCUGUCAUCUUUAGGAAAACUAAGUCAUCUAAGAUAUCUUGAUCUUUCUUAUGGGUGGUUUGAAAACCUCCCAAAUGCUAUUACAAGAUUGAAGCAUUUACAGACAUUGACGCUUUUCAAUUGUAUACGUCUAAAAGAAUUGCCGAGAAAUAUGAAAAAAUUGAUCAACCUGAGGCAUCUUGAGAUUGAUGAAGUAAAUAAAUUAAGUUAUAUGCCACGUGGUUUGGGAGAUUUGACUAAUCUUCAAACCUUGCCAUUAUUCUGGGUAAGGAAUGAUGGUGGGGAAUCCAGGCACAAGAGAAUGGGUAGGUUGAAUGAACUGAGAUUCCUUAACAAUCUCAGAGGACAACUACAAAUUAAAAGGCUUUCAAAUGCAAGGGGCAGUGAAGCUAAGGAAGCCAUGUUGGAGGGUAAACAGUACCUUGAGUGCUUGAGAUUAGAUUGGUGGAAACUACCAGCUACCCAGGAGAGUGAGGAGGCAAUGUUAGUAAUGGAAUGCCUGCAACCACAUCCAAAUCUGAAGGAGCUCUUCAUAGUUGAUUACCCAGGUGUGAGAUUCCCAAAUUGGAUGAUGAAUGAUGGGUUGGAUUUGCUGCUCCCAAACCUAGUCAAAAUACAAAUAUCGUCUUGCGACAGAAGCAAAGUUCUGCCACCUUUUGCACAACUCCCUUCUCUUAAAUAUCUAGAACUUUCCAAUCUAAUAGCUGUGGAGUGCAUGAUGGAUUACCCUUCAUCAGCAAAGCCAUUCUUCCCAUCUCUGAAGACACUCCAACUUUCUGAUUUGCCUAAUUUGAAGGGAUGGGGAAUGAGGGAUGUAGCAGCAGAGCAAGCUCCUUCAUAUCCUUAUCUUGAGGAUCUACGGCUGGACAACACCACUGUGGAGCUAUGCUUACAUUUGAUCUCUGUCUCUUCUUCAUUGAAGUCUGUGUCUAUUAGACGCAUAAAUGAUCUGAUAUCUCUGCCAGAGGGGCUUCAACAUGUUUCCACCCUACAAACUCUCACAAUUAGGGGUUGCUCUAGUUUGGCAACUUUACCAGACUGGAUCGGCCGCCUCACAUCACUUUCAGAGCUUUGCAUUGAAAAGUGCCCUAAUUUAACAUCACUGCCAGAAGAGAUGCGAUCCCUCCGCCAUCUACACACACUUAAAAUCAAUGGAUGUCCAUACUUAUAUGAAAGAUGCCAAAAGGAAACUGGUGAAGAUUGGCCUACGAUUUCUCAUAUUCCCGAAAUUAUCAUUCGGCGAUGGUGAAGCAGAUAUGUGAAGCUUGCCUUGUCUCUUUAAUGAAUGCGUCAUCCACAAUAAAUUUCGGUAUGCAAUCCAAUUUCUAGUUGUUUGCUGUGCUUUUUGUUAUUUGUUCGCACUUCACCUGUUAUAUAAAAUGCUUAGCUUACCAAAAUGCCCUGUUACUCGGUGUUUGCAGUUUACACAUUUGCAUUUUACUGCCGUCGAAUGUAUUGAGGUGAACCCCCACCACAUGUUGAAUUGAUUGGUAGUGUGAAGAAGACCAUUGAUGUAUAUAGGUGUAGAGUAAGGUGUUUUUUCCAUAGGGACUGCCACAAGCAAUUUAAUUUCUUUUUUUUUUUUUUUUGAAUGUUGAUUCUUAUAAGAUAGAACCAAAAGCAUAAAAUAAAAUCUAAUGCUUAUUUAGAGUUUUUUUGUAAUAUAAACAAGUGCCUAUCGCAAAGAAAGAACAUAGCAUAUUUUUGUGCAAUUUUAAAUUAUUCAUCGUUCUAUGUGUUUCCAAUCCAAUUUGUAUGGUUGUUUUUGCAGGGUUUAUGUUUUGUUACUUUACAAUUUAUCUCUUAAGAACCUUAUAUAUUAUGUUUUGCUAAUUUCAAUAUGUAAUAGCAUAUGUGAGGAAAAAGGUUUUUCAAUUUGUUUUCCUUCACUUUGUUGCAUGUCUAUGUUCUUUUACUCAUGAAUACAAUUGGGACUGUAAAUGCUAUGUUCGGUUUUCUUGUAGUUAUUCAGAAUAUCACUUGGGAUGUGCAUAUAAUACUUUCUUAUUAUAGAAGUCUUUGCCCUAGUUAUAAAUUAUGAUUUGAUUUUAUAUUUUUGGAUUGAAAAAUGCUUGUAAUUCUUUUCGCUAGUCUAAUUUCUUGAUGAUUCAUUCUAUUAAGCCAACACCCUUUAAUAUUCCUUAAAAAAAUGUUGACAAGCGGAGGAUAACCGAUGCAUAUGGAACGAGUUAGCUCACUUACAUCACAUUCCCAACCUAUACUCUUUUUAGCAUGUUGUCCAUACUUUGUCUCCACUAUUCAGGUUUAGAAUUGACUCCUCUCCUUUUGCUCUGAAUUGUUUACCCCUUUCAUUCAUUUACUAAAAUUUUUUGUACUCCUUCUGAUGUUUUGAUCUUUUUUUUUUAACUCUUAUUUGAAGUAGAACAACAAUAUACCACUUGAGCAAGGAGCACAUAUCAUUGAAUCCAUGUGGUAAGUGGUUAAUUCUCGUCUCUCAAGUUUCUUGAUCGUGGGAAUCUAAAUGCUUUGGGGUGCAUGGAUAACAAUAGCGACAUAUCUCCCUCAUUUUCAUUGAGAGGCAAGUUGGUUUGAGGGGAGUAUAAAAUAAGGAGAACUAGCAGGACCAUUCUUCCCAUUCCUGCCAUGAUGGAGGAAAAGAGACGGUGGAGGGAUAGUAUCAAUAUCACUAGCAAAACAACAAAUUUGAAGGGAUUACCCAUCAUCAGCAAAGCCAUUAUUCCCAUGUCUGAGGACACUCCAACUUUUUUAUUUGCCCAAUUUGGAGGGAUGGGGAAGGAGGGAUGUAGCAGCAGAGCAAGCUCCUUCAUAUGCUUAUCUUGAGGAUCUACAGCUGGGCAACACCACUGUGGAGCUACGCUUACAUUUGAUCUCUGUCUCUUCUUCAUUGAAGUCUCUGUCUAUUAGACGCAUAAAUGAUCCGAUAUCUCUGCCAGAGGGGCUUCAACAUGUUUCCACUCUACAAACUCUCAGAAUUUCCGGUUGCUUUAGUUUGGCAACUUUACCAGACUGGAUUGGCAGCCUCACAUCACUUUCAUACCUUUCCAUUCAAUACUGCCCUGAGUUGAGAUCACUACCAGAAGAGAUGCGAUCCCUCCGCCAUCUAUACACACUCGAAAUCGGUGGAUGUCCAUGCUUAUAUGAAAGAUGCCAAAUGGAAACUGGCGAAGAUUGGCCUAAGAUUUCUCAUAUUCCCGAAAUUAUUAUUUCGCGACAUUGAAGCAGGUAUGUGAAGCUUGCCUUGUCUCUUUAAUUGAAUGCGUCAUCCACAAUAAAUUUCAAGUAUGCAAUCCAAUUUCCAAUUGUUUGUUGUGCUUUUUCUUAUUUGUUCGCACUUCACCUGUUCGAUAAAAUGCUUAGGUUACCAAAAUGCCUUGUUACUCGGUGUUUGCAGUUUACACGUUUGCAUUUUAUUGCCGUCGAAAUUGUUGUCAUCUCAUUUCUCUCAAAUAUUAUAUAAAUUUCAGAAUAUAAUACUUGAAACUGUUGCACUACUGAUUAUUUAAGGCUUGGAAUGCCUUCAAAAAUUGCAACCAUCAUGCCUCUAGAUGGCCACCCAAGAAAACUAAAGCUCAGGAAACUCAGCCAGGAAUUUAUAUUAAUCAGAACUAGACUCUUAUAUGGAUUUGCUUGUAGUGUUUAACAAUGUUUGGGCUAGAACUUAAAGAAGUGUAGCUCCAUAUUCCUUGAUAGACAUGUUAAUGUAUUGAGGUGAACCCCACCACAUGUUGAAUUGAUUGGUAGUGUGAAGAAGACCAUUGGUGUAUAUAGGUGUAGACUAAGGUGCUUCUUCCACAGGGCUGCCACAAGCAAUCUAAUUUCUUUUUCUUAUUUUUUUUCUUUUUUUUAUGUUGAUUCUUAUAAGAUGGCACCAAAAGCAUAAAAUAAAAUCUAAUGCUUAUUUAGAGUUUUUUGUAAUAUAAACAAGAGUCUAUUGCAAAGAAAGAACAAACAUAUUUCUAUGCAAUUUUAAAUUAUUCAACUUACUAUGUGUUUGCAAUCCAAUUUGUAUGGUUGUUUUUACGGGGUUUAUUUUUAGUUAUUUUACAAUUCAUCUCUUAAGAACCUUAUAUAUAUUAUAUUUUGCUAAUUUCGAUAUGUAAUAGCAUAUGUGAGGAAAAAGGUUUUUCAAUUUGUUUUCCUUCACUUUGUUGCAUGUCUAUGUUCUUUUAUUCAUGAAGAUAACUGGGACUGUAAAUGUCAUGUUCGGUUUUAUUGUAGUUAUUCAGAAUAUCACUUGGGAUGUGCAUAUAAUACUUUCUUAUUAUGGAAGUCUUUUCCCUGGUUAUAAAUUAUGAUUUGAUUUUAUAUUUUUGGAUUGAACAAUGCUUGUAAUUCUUUUCGCUAUUCUAAUUUCUUGAUGAUUCAUUCUAUUAAGCCAACACCCUUUAAUAUUCCUUAAAAAAAUGUUGACAGGUGGAGGAUAACCGAUGCAUAUGGAACGAGUUAGCUCACUUACAUCACAUUCCCAACCUAUACUCUUUUUAGCAUGUUGUCCAUACUUUGUCUCCACUAUUCAGGUUUAGAAUUGACUCCUCUCCUUUUGCUCUGAAUUGUUUACCCCUUUCAUUCAUUUACUAAAAUUUUUUGUACUCCUUCUGAUGUUUUGAUCUUUUUUUUUUAACUCUUAUUUGAAGUAGAACAACAAUAUACCACUUGAGCAAGGAGCACAUAUUAUUGAAUCCAUGUGGUAAGUGGUUAAUUCUCGUCUCUCAAGUUUCUUGAUCGUGGGAAUCUAAAUGCUUUGGGGUGCAUGGAUAACAAUAGCGACAUAUCUCCCUCAUUUUCAUUGAGAGGCAAGUUGGUUUGAGGGGAGUAUAAAAUAAAGAGAACUAGCAGGACCAUUCUUCCCAUUCCUGCCAUGAUGGAGGAAAAGAGAUGGUGGAGGGAUAGUAUCAAUAUCACUAGCAAAACAACAAAUUUGAAGGGAUUACCCAUCAUCAGCAAAGCCAUUAUUCCCAUGUCUGAGGACACUCCAACUUUUUUAUUUGCCCAAUUUGGAGGGAUGGGGAAGGAGGGAUGUAGCAACAGAGCAAGCUCCUUCAUAUCCUUAUCUUGAGGAUCUACAGCUGGGCAACACCACUGUGGAGCUACGCUUACAUUUGAUCUCUGUCUCUUCUUCAUUGAAGUCUCUGUCUAUUAGACGCAUAAAUGAUCCGAUAUCUCUGCCAGAGGGGCUUCAACAUGUUUCCACCCUACAAACUCUCACAAUUGAAUAUAUCUCUGGUUUGGUCACUUUACCACACUGGAUCGGCCGCCUCACAUCACUUUCAAAGCUUCGCAUUGAACACUGCCAUAAUUUGUUAUUUCUGCCAGCAGAGAUGCGAUCCCUCCGCCAUCUACACACACUUGAAAUCUGUGAUUGUCCACUCUUAUAUAGAAGAUACAAAUACAAAACUGGUGAAGUUUCGGCUAUGAUUUCUCAUAUUCCCGAAAUUAUUAUUUCGCGACAUUGAAGCAGGUAUGUGAAGCUUGCCUUGUCUCUUUAAUUGAAUGCAUCAUCCACAAUAAAUUUCAAGUAUGCAAUCCAAUUUCUAGUUGUUUGUUGUGCUUUUUCUUAUUUGUUCGCACUUCACCUGUUCGAUAAAAUGCUUAGGUUACCAAAAUGCCUUGUUACUCGGUGUUUGUAGUUUACAUGUUUGCAUUUUACUGCCGUCGAAAUUAUUGUCAUCUCACUUCUCUCAAAUAUUAUAUAAAUUUCAGAAUAUAAUACUUGAAACUGUUGCAAUACUGAUUAUUUAAUGCUUAUAAUGCCUUCAAAAAUUGCAACCAUCAUGCCUCUAGAUGGCCACCCAAGAAAACUAAAGCUCAGGAAACUCAGCCAGGAAUUUAUAUUAAUCAAAACUAGACUCUUUUAUGGAUUUGCUUGUAGUGUUUAACAAUGUUUGGGUUAGAACUUAAAGAAGUGUCGCUCCAUAUUCCUUGAUGGACACGUUAAUGUAUUGAGGUGAACCCCACCACAUGUUGAAUUGAUUGGUAGUGUGAAGAAGACCAUUGGUGUAUAUAGGUGUAGACUAAGGUGCUAAAUCCGUGGGGACUGCCACAAGCAAUCUAAUUUUAUUUUAUUUUUUUAUGUUGAUUCUUAAAAGAUGGCACCAAAAGCAUAAAAUAAAAUCUAUUGCUUAUUUAGAGUUUUUUGUAAUAUAAACAAGUGUCUAUCGCAAAGAAAGAAUAGAGCAUAUUUCUAUGCAAUUUUAAAUUAUUCAACUUACUAUGUGUUUGCAAUCCAAUUUGUAUGGUUGUUUUUACAGGGUUUAUUUUUUGUUAUUAUACAAUUUAUCUAGCUCUUUAGAACCUUAUAUAUUAUGUUUUGCUAAUUUCGAUAUGUAAUAGCAUAUGUGAGGGAAAAGGUUUUUCAAUUUGUUUUCCUUCACUUUGUUGCAUGUCUAUGUUCUUUUACUCAUGAAUAUAAUUGGGACUGUAAAUGUCAUGUUCGGUUUCCUUGUAGUUAUUUAGAAUAUCACUUGGGAUGUGCAUAUAAUACUUUCUUAUUAUGCAAGUCUUUUCCCUAGUUAUAAAUUAUGAUUUAAUUUUAUAUUUUUGGAUUGAACAAUGCUUGUAAUUCUUUUCACUAGUCCAAUUUCUUGAUGAUUCAUUCUAUUAACCCAACACCCUUUAAUAUUCCUAAAAAAAAUGUUGAUAGGUUGAGGAUAACCGAUGCAUAUGGAACAAGUUAGCUCACUUACGUCACACUCCCAAUCUAUACUAUCUUUAGCAUGUUGUCCAUACUUUGUCUCCACUAUUCAGGUUUAGAAUUGACUCAUCUCCUUAUGCUCUGGAUUGUUUACCCCUUUCAUUCAUUUACUAAAAAAUGUUGUACUUCGUCUGAUGUUUUUCGUCUGAUAUUUUGAUCUUUUUUUUAACUCUCAUUUAAAGUAGAACAACAAUAAACCACUUGAGCAAGGAGCACAUAUUACUGAAUCCAUGAGGCAAGUGGUUAAUUCUCGUCUCUCAAGCUUCUUGAUCAUGGGAAUCUAAAUGCUUUGGGAUGCAUGGAUAACAAUAGCGGCAUAUCUCCUUCAUUUUCAUUGAAAGGCAAGUUGGUUUGAGGGGAGUAUAAAACAAGGAGAACUAGCAGGACCAUUCUUCCCAUUCCUACCAUGAUGGAGGAAAAGAGAUGGUGGAGGGAUAGUAUCAAUAUCACUAGCAAAACAACAGUAACCAACAUUCAUUACCUCUCUAGUUUCCUCGUCUUUUUAUUUUACUUGAGCUGAAAUGCAUGCUGAUAUAUCUAUAUCUUGAUCAGGAUUUAGAUCUGUAUAACAUCUCUUCCACAAGAGGAGCCCUAAGUGCUUACUUCUCCUAAUUUGGUAAGUAUGUUGCAUUAUUGUUUGUUUGUAUGAUUCUAAAUAUCAGUUUUGAAUGAUGAUGAAAAUUUAUGUUUUUCUCUCAUUUUCUCAAAAUUGAUGACAAAUAGAUAAAAGAUUCUUGUGCUCUUUAAUUCUAGCACACCAUACAAACAUAUUUUAGGUUUGCAAAUCACCCCAUAUUCCUUUUCUAUGGGGUUUACUUUUCAUUAUUUUACAAUCUGUCCUUUAAGAAUGUUACACUUUCUUUACAGCUUUAAUGGUUACCAGAGUCUUUGAUGCAUUUCCAAAAACACUCAUAUUAUGCAAGUCCUUUUCAUGGUUAUGAGUCAUGUUUGUAAUUCUUUUGAUUGGAUUUUAUUGGACAAAUUUAUUGCAGAUUUAUUCUAUUGCAGACCAAUACCAAAGGGGUGAUGUUGAGGAUUGGAUAGAUGCUUUUCAAUAUUCCAUAAAUAAAUAUUGACAUGUUAUGGGUACCCGAGGCAUAUGGGAAGAGUUAGCCAUUCAAUUCGAUAUUUAAGCUUUGCAUGUUGUCUAUAACAUGUCUUCAUUAUUCAGGUUUAGGACCCAUUCCUCUCUUUUUUGGUUUUGUUGGUUUAUUUUCUGUUAUUUAAUUUGCUAAAAAUUCUUAUACCUUGUCUUAUAGGAAGGGUGAAACAAGGAGAAUUAACAGGAUUAUUCUUCUCAUUUCUGCCAUGAUGGAGAAACUCAAAAACUAGAUAAACUUAAAACAUAUGUCGAGGUGGUAGUGGCAUUACCAGAUAAACAACAGAAGCUUCAUUCUUGCCAUGUUUUCCUUUUCUUCCUAUUCUCCUUGAGCCGACAUCCAUGCCACUGCAUCUAUAUCUUAAGGAUCCACAGUACCAUCUCCUUCAUUUCCUUUCUCCUUCCUACAUCCAUUGAUGUCUAUGCAUAUUGAUGGCGAUAGAGAAUCCAACAUAUGUUCCAAAAAAAGGAUUUUGGUACAUCAUUUCUCUCUUAAAUUUUGACAUGCCAUUGUUUAUUUGUCCAAGUCUAGAUAUUCGAAAUGUAAAUGCUAAUGGUGGUGAAAUCUUAUGUCUUAGGGAAUUUCAGCAAGUUAAAGAUUUUUAUGUGAAAGUAGGAAUCAAUUCUAAGAACUUGAGAGGUAGCAUUCAAUAUGUAUUCACCUUACUACAGCAAAGAAUCUAACACUUUGGGUAUGUGUUCAUUCUUUAACUUAGGUAAAAUAGAUGGUAAGUCACCUCACUAAGCUUGUUGUUAUUCAUUGUCAAGCUUGAAAUCACUACUAGAGGGAUGUCAAAAGGAAGCAUGUGCAGAUUGAUCUGAUGGCUUAUCAUGUCCCAAGAAUUCAUAUCUACCAGUCUCAAAUAGCUAAUGCACAAAGGACCUAUUCUCUCUUUACAAUUCGGGUGCACUAUCUGCAAUGCAUGUUCUAAGGUUUGCUAUGCCAACUUUUUUUCCUUCUUUUGAUGGCUACUUUAUUUCUUAUUUUCCAUUCAAUUUGUUCCAAUUCUUAUUUUAUAAGUUAUGUAUUGUUGGUGCAUAUGGAAUGAGUAAAUUCACUUGCAUCAUUAUGUCUCUAUUAUUCAGGUAUGUCAGUCCACUCCCUCUUCCCACCUCGAAACUCUUUAUAGCUUAGUUCUUCACUACAAAUUUUGUAAGAACUAUAAAAGCUCAAAUUCAACUAUUGUAUUUUAGUUGUUCAAAGCAAUAAAACAGCAACUAGUUGAGUGAGCGGCUCGUACUACUUGAAGUGCUUGAUUCAAUUUAUUGUUAGGUGCCUAGACAGAGGCCUUUAUAUAUAAUUUUUAACUGAAAACAAGUAAUAUGAUGUUUAGUGUGGAUGUUCUCUUCUAUGACAAAAGAGAGUAAUAAUUUCAUGUUCUUUUGCUCUUCUUUUGUCAGGAGGAAUUAUAUUGCCUAUUGCUAGGGGAAGAAGUUGCUAGAAUCCAAUACUGUGAGAGUGUAAAUUUUGGAGUUUCUUUGUAAUUGCAUUGUAAGAUCAUCUCAUCUCUAAGUGAAAAAACUCUUGGCUACAAUUGAAGCAUUCCAUUAUGUACAUAAUGUUGUUAGCUUGAUUGAUUUGGCAGGCUUAUUUCCCAAGUUUUGUAAUCAAGUUGUUGGUUCCGAUAUCGUUGAACAUUCAUGACGUAUGGAUCUUCUAAUUUGCAGGCUCCUAUGACAUCUUUCAAACUCAACAAAGGUUCAUUCGUAUCUCAAAAAUUGUUAUAGAUUUUACUUUUUAUGCAAGAGACUUCAAAAAUUAAUUCUUGUAUGAUUUUUUGUAGGAAAAAAGAUUGAGCUACAUGAUUGACCUCAAAGCAGAGAGAAUUAAUCAUUUUGAUGAGGUAUAUAUGGUAAGCCUUCAUCAUCAAUUGUCACAUUGUUCUUUAUGAUAAUUUGUGUUUUCUUUUAGUUCAUUCUUAUACAAUUCCUUUAAUAUCGAAAUUGAAAAACAAAGUACAUAAUUUAUUGAGUUGGCUGUUGUAACAUAUAGUUAUGACAUUAUUCAUGUUCUAAAAUAAUUGAAAGCCAAUCCAAGAUGAUUGAUCUAUAUGUUCAAGAUGCUUGAAAGGAGUGUCAUGAGUCUUUUUAUGGUACCAUUUGCAUAUUAGUGUAAGAGUUAUUAUUCUUAAACUAACUUUUUUCUUCUUUUUUUAUUUGGCGGAAUUAUAGGUGAGAAUCAAGUUUAAUCGAACUAUCCUUGGGACUGAUUUUUACUAGAAGAUAACCUCAUAUUUCAUAAUGUCAUUCAUUGUUGGCAUACAAAAGCUCAAUCAUUAAACAACUUAUGAAAUAAAAGGGUGGUCGAUUAAGAGAGGAAGAAUGGAUUCAAAAGUUGAUCUCCACUUCCCGCGCUUUCGAAGGCUUCAAUCAUGACUCAAAGAACAAGUUGGUUUAUUUAAAGGUUUUGGAAUCUCCUUGCAUGUUGUGGAAGUGUAUUUAGCUUCUAAAUAAAAGUAGAAUUCAAAUCCAGUAUCAACUUUCAAUUACUACAAAUUGCCACUCAAAUCUCCUUACAACCUUUCUAUUAGUUGUUUCUUUAUGCUUCUUCAAUGAUACUAUUAACAUUAUUUUAUGUUACUUUUGAUGUAAUCAUUUUCUAAUAUUUGUCUAUUUGGAUAUUGUAAUUUUUGGAUGAAACAUGAGUCGUUUCUUCUACUCUAUUGUACUUCAUCUUUCUUACAUGGGCAUGCCCAAGAUUCUUGUGAAUCAUAUAAAUUUAGUGAUUGUUGCUUAUAUUUGAUAUUAAGAUUUGUUUAUAAUUCUUUUUUUAAUAUUUAUUUUAUUUACUUUCUAAUACUUUGUUUUUAUUCGGGGCUUCUCUCAGGUUUGUGAUCAAAGUGAGAUGCAUGAAAUUUUAAAAUCCAAAUUAGGAAAGAAAUCAGUCUUCUAUAAUAUAUAUUGCAAUGAGAAACUAUGUUCUUUAAAGCUUUGGUACAACAUUAUUUUUUUCAAGGAAAAUUUUGAAAUUUUGUGUUUUAGAACUUAAUUUUAGAAAAUGUGAAAAACAUAAUAAAAAUGUUUGGACUAUAAUUCAAGAGGGCUGUAGUUAAUCUAAGUCUAACUUGAUCUCUUUUUUUAAAAAAAAAAAUAGGCUUAUCAAGUUGUCCAGGGUAAAAAUCUACAUUUUUUUUUAACUUUAUUUAAUAUAUUUAUAUUAAAAUUAAAAUAAUUAAUGAGACUAUUUCAAGAUAAUAAUUAAAAAAAUAAAAAAUAAAUUUAUAUGUCUUUUUAGAAAAAUGAGAUAAGAGUAAUUACAAUUUAAUAUUUUUUUCCUAUAAAAUUAAAAAAUAAAUAAAAUGAAUAUUAUUAAUGUUGAGUUAUGUAAAACCUAAUUAUACCAUACACUUUCACCAUAACAAUGAUCAACCUUCGUGGUGCCAAGGUUAGUGAGUGUGGGGGUUCCAGACAUAAACCCCAAUAGGUUGAGAUUAGGUUGUGGCCACAUGGAAAAUUGUAUAGUAUCAUUAGGUUACACUCAAUUUAAUACAAUCUAAUCUUAUUUUUCUAAACUUAGGUUGAAAUUAGAUUAGUUAGAAUAUAUUCAAGGUGGUCGAAUUAAUUAUGUCAUGUAAUUCGUAAUCCAUUCAUAAUGUUUUUUUUCUUAUAUAUUUAUACCAAAAUCUAAAUAGUAAGUUGGAUACAAUUACGAUACAAUAACAAAAAAUGUAAAAAGAAAUUUAUAUAUCCUUAUAAAAAAUUAAAAAGUUAUAUAAUAGAAUUAUAAUUUGAUAUUUUUUUCUUAAAAAUAAAAAGGAGAAUAAAUAAAAUGAACACUUUUAAUGUAAGAUUAUAUAAAUUAUAAAUAAUAUAAAAAUAUUAAAUUUGAUUCAUCAUCCAAACCUUAGUAUGAGUAUAACUCAAAUUAAGUUCAAAUCGAAAAAAACUUUACCUAAACUCAACCCUUAUUAAAAAUGAUUACUCACACCUGUCUAAAAAUAGGAUUUAUUAGUCCUAUUUUUCUGUUUUUUUAACUUUACUUGAAAAGAAUCAUAGAGACUUAUAAUUAAUUUUAGUAAUGGGAAAUACUCUUUCAAUAUAAUAUAAUUUUUCAAGUAAACUAAUUGAAAAAUAUUUUUAGAAGAAAUAGGAUUAUUUUUACUUCCGUAUAAAAGUUUCUAUAGAUUAGAAGUUAUUUUGAUUAAAUUAUAUAAACACAUUAAUUUUGUUAAUAAUUAAAGACUUUUGGGGAGUGAUUCUAGUAAAAAUAUUUUUAGUCCUAUUAUAAACACUUUUAUAAAGAAUCACUUAGUAUUUAAACUAAAAAAAAUGUUUUUAAUAAUAUUUUUGAUAACUUAUUAUGAAAUAAAAAUUAUUUUUACACACAUACAUAUAUCGAGGUUUUUUAUUAUUAUUAUUAUAUAAUUUAAAAAAAAUAAUAUAUUAUCUAUAAUUUAAUAUUUAUUUGUGGGUAGUGCUCUUGACUUGACUAACCAAUGGCCUUGCUAGUUGCCACGUCGACCCAUAAGCUUUGGCUUAUUAGUAGGUAGUGUGGUUCGUGGCCAUUCAUCUUCUAAAUGGGUUUCUUGUUGUCCCACGCAUUCCAUUUUGGGUUUGGUCUCUAUUUUCCUCCACACAAUACAAACCCACUAUUCAAAAUUUCCACACCACUUCACAUCACAUGCAAUGGCUCCUCUCUUAUUUCUCUUAAUCAUUUAAUAGUUUAUUUUGCCCAAACAUUCAUAUAGGACACUAGAUGAGACGAUGCCAUCUGGCGGCAGAUUAGAGAACGAGGAGGUGAUAAAAGCUCCAAACCACUGAGCAGUGAUUGACGGCAAUGCCGAAGAAGAUGGCGGAGAAGGAGGAGCAAGGCGGCGCAGGAGUAGUGGUGGUGGAUCCGACGCCGAGUAAGGGGUUCACUUCGAAGGCGGUGGAUUGGCUGGAGAAGCUGAUAGUGAAGUUGAUGCACGAUUCUUCACAGCCUCUCCACUACUUGUCUGGAAACUUCGCUCCGGUUCGCGACGAGACUCCGCCGUGCAAGAACCUUCCGGUCAUUGGGUAUCUUCCGGUGGGUGAGAUUGACGAAACCCAUGUUUUUCUUUUUCGGGAAAACAUUUGGCUGCGUGUGCUUGGCUGCUGAGAAAAGAAAAGAAAAAAAAAGAAACUUUUGGUUUUUGUCUAUUUUUAAGGAAAAGUGAGGCUCAAAUACCAAAUUUGAUUUAUUUUACAUUCAAAUCAUUUUCUCACCAAACAAAUGGAGCCUAAUAGAAAUUAAUUGUAGUUCGAAUUUCAGCUAACUUUUCUUUUCUUUUGCUGCUUGAAUUCAUUGUUUUUUUUCCCCUAACUUUUUUUAAUAGGGAUGUUUUCGUUUUCUUGAUAUAUUUCUUGGAAAUUCAUAUGUAGUGAAUUAUUGCAUCUCUUUUUAAUUUAAUAUUUUUUGGUUUUUUUUUUUUUGGUAAAUUACAUUAUUAGUCAGGGAAUGAUGUAAUAGACUAACAGCAUGUAGACGGUAGUAUAAUGCUGGGCAACAUAGAUAUGGCAUGUUGAUUUGAUAAAUAUAAUGCGCAAUUUUUUCUCUGUUUCUGAAAUAUGCUGAAUAUUUGCAAAAACUCCAUAAAAUUUAAAUUUGGAUUGGUCAUUGAAUAUGAAUUGACAAGAGAAAUUGGAGUAUGAAAGUUUAGAGGAUGAAUAACCAGUUUCAAGAAGUUGGAUUCUGAAUUUAGGAAAGAGUUGCUUUAAUUUUGUGUUUGUUACUUUGGCCUACUUAAUCAGAAUUUUGUUUAAAGAUCAGACAAAUUAUUUUAAAAUUUUAAAAUUUUGGGAUUUUCCAAAUUCAUCAAGUGUCGUGCUACUCGAUCAGAGUUGUCUUUCGACCAAAUGUUAACAAAUGGGCUGUAAAUUUGCCAGCUCUAAGCAUGGUAACAGUUAUCAAACCCAGUGUAUUUUUUUUCAUGAACAUGAUGGCUGCCAAAAUUUGUGUGAGAAAUGUAACCCAUUUGAUGUAUAUAAUUGGGUCUGUUACCCCCCACAGAAAAUCUUUGAUUUUUUGUGAGAGUGAACAAGAGAAAUAUUUAGUGAGAAACAAACUAUAAGACUAUAACAUAGUUUGUGUGGUUCACUGCUAUGUAUCUAGGGGGACAAGCUGACUAGAGAUAGAUCCACAAAAUAUGAAAAACAUAAUAAGAUCUUACCUUCCCUAAAAUCUAACAGCAACCCCAUCGAAACCUUUUGUUUUCUUUUAUCUUUAAUGAUUAUGAUGAAUCCCAAUUGCUUAAAUACUCAUUGUAAAUCUGCUAAUCUUAUUUCCUGUCAAAAUUGCCAAUAGUUUGAUUUUUUUUUCCCCUUGGAUACUGUAAGUCUAGCCAUUCAUCCUCUGCUAAAUUGAUAUGAAAUUGGAAAUGUUGCUUACAGGAGUGCCUGAAUGGAGAGUUUGUCAGGGUUGGCCCCAACCCUAAGUUUUCCCCUGUGGCUGGAUAUCAUUGGUACGCCCUUUGUCUUUAUGUCAAACUAUUUCUAAUAGAGCUUGACAUGGUUUUUGGUGGGGUGAUUAUACUCAGUUUUUUUGCUUAAAAAAUGUUAAAUUUUUAAUUUACCUUCAUCCCAAUCAUGUAUACUUUUGUUUUUUACUUGUUUCGGGCUAUUCUUGCAAAUGAAAUGUUAGUUAUCAACCCGAUGACAACUGUGCUGAUCCCUUUUUUCUCUGUGCAGGUUUGAUGGAGAUGGGUGGGUGUUUUUCCUUCAUUCACAACUGAAAUGCAAUAUAGUCCAUGAAGGAAUUUUAACUGUUUUGACUUCAAUAUUUCAUUUGGUCCCAUUGUGGACUAGCUUCAGUGUCUCUCUGCAUGCUGGAACUCUUAUCUAAUGAAGACAAAACUGAUAUUUUUGUUCCAAAAGCUAUAGUAUUGUUUUUCUUAAAAUUAUUCAGUUCUUUGGUAGGUAGAAAUAUCUACAUUUUUUUUCAUGAUUUCCCUCUCUUUGAGAUUCUUCCUGUGCCUGAACAUGUCCUAGCUGCUUGACCAAGAUUUAAAAUUUAUACUUCAUAGGCAUGUAGGAGCUUGUGUACAGUUCCUGUUCUAACAUUCAAUGCUGAACUUGUUACUAGUCUAUCUAUGUGGAGUCGCUGCAUCAAGUUAUUAUUCAAGAUGAAAUUUAUUUGUGCUCAUCUUAGUCUUCGCCUUAGCCUAUGGCUAUUAAACGUGAGUCAUAUCAAAAAAGAUAUAAAUCCCAUUAAUAUGAAUAUCCUAUAAUUUAAGUCUGAGUGGUGAUAACAUACUGAAGAUGGAGAUCUUCCCUGGGUAUGCUGCUUAAUCAUGAGGAUAUUUACUCAUAAUCAAUAUAUUUAUCAUCUCUGAGACUGCAACUGUCCUGCUACUAAAUUGAAAUUUUGUGAAAUCAAGAGACUAAUACAUGCAAGACCCAGUGCUUUGAAUAAAAGACAUUAAUUAAAUAAUUUAAAACUGGCUGUGGACUAUCAGGGAAUAUGCUCAACUAUCUGGGUGCUCCGGGGGAAUACUAUGUCUACUAGUUAUGAGAGAAGAGAAAGUUCUGACUUCUUUCUGGUCGAGAAGUAUUUGCUAGACUAGGGCAUAAUCUUAGUAAUAGAAAAAACAUACAACAAAAUGUGAUGAUAUGAUCUCCAUGUGGCAUUUGAAAUUUUCUGAUUGGUUCCUAGAUUAUGUAGCAUCCUAUUGAAAGAUCAUUAUGUUCUUAAUGAAAAUAAACUUGAACAAGGAGUUGAUCUUGGUGAAUUUUAAUUUUGUUUUCAGCAGUGAAAAUUAAUCCGUUAAUCCAAUGUUAUUUCUACUCAUAUGUACUAUUGUAUGUUUGCUUUUCAAAUAUCUUAUUAUGUAUUUUGACAGCCUUCCUUAUUAUUUUCUGUCUUGGAGAGUUGCAAGAUUGCUUAGAAACCUUACUGGAAUUCACUGUUAACUUUUUCUAAAGUAACUACGGCUUUUUAUUGUUUCUUCAACUAUGCAGCAUGAUUCAUGGUUUGCACAUCAAAGAUGGAAAAGCUACAUAUGUCUCACGUUAUGUUAGGACAUCACGUCUUAAACAAGAAGAGUAUUUUGGAGGAGCAAAAUUCAUGAGGGUAGGCAGUGAACUGCAUAAAUUUUUUCCUUCUUCUGGCUGGGGAAUAACAUUUUCUCUUGCCAGGCUUGCUCCUCUAUGGUUUUUGAUCAUAGAUUUGAUUCUUCAGUUAAAGUUCUUGGUGAACACUAUAUGAAUUAGAGAAGUAUCAUCCAAAUGAAAUAAGAUUUGUCUCUAUAAAUGAAAAAUAUUGGUACCUUAUAGGAGAAUUAUGCCUGUGGGGACUAAUUUCAAGGUCAAGAGGAUGUAACAAAUUAAGAUAGAGGGUGAAGUUGAAAUUGAGCAAAAAUCAUAAGAGAAGGAAAAUAUAUAGUCUAUAAUGCCAUAAGAGGAGUAAAUAUUAAUUGAUUUGCGAGAAUAUAUAAUAAUUAAUGAAUAAGAAAAGUUAGUUCUAAAUUUUAAACUUGAAAAGGAGUAGGUUAGCCUAUGGUGCAAAUGUUAUUUCUGAGAUUAUAUUAUCUUGGGUUUUUGUUUUGUUUUUUGCAGAUUGGUGAUCUUAAGGGCCUGUUUGGAUUGCUUAUGGUUAACAUGCAAAUGCUGAGAGCAAAAUUGAAAAUAUUGGAUGUUUCAUAUGGAACUGGGACAGGUAGGCUUUAAGAUCGUGAACGAUUGUGCACCUUUUGCAAGAACUCAUUCCAGUAGGAGAAGUCACCUGCUACAAUUCCAAAAGAAAGUGUCUUGUAUUAAUUUGGUUGUCAUGUAAGUAGGAAAAAGUAUUAGAGAAAAGGGUUGACUGUUUAACUUCUUCUUCCAGGUAAUACAGCUCUAGUGUAUCACCAUGGUAAGCUUUUGGCACUUUCGGAGGCUGAUAAACCUUGUAAGCUUAUAUCCUCUCUCCAUUUUCACUUUUGAAAAGCAUGCAUGUUCUCCAAAUUGACUAUUAAUCAAAAUUUUCAAUGAAGUGAAGCAUCAAGUGUUCUAUCUCCAUGUCUCAAUGAAGGGUUUUGUUUUGCCCUUUUUUUUUUUUUGGUAUCUCUGGUCAUGCCACCACAUGAUGAAAUUGUUAGGCUUUUCACUUUCUUGCAAGAGAUAAAUGAGAACUGUAAAAUUAUCAUUACCUGUGUCUAUUGUGGAACUCAAAAUUUUAUUCUGGCUCUAUGAAGAUGUCCUAAAAGUUUUGGAAGAUGGAGAUCUGCAAACCCUGGGCAUGCUGGAUUAUGAUAAGAGAUUGACCCAUUCCUUCACUGCUCAUCCAAAGGUUGACCCCUUCACUGGUAAAAGCCCAUCCUCAACAAAGAAAUUUGAUCAUGCUAUGGUGUAAAUCAACUCCUUCUGAGUAGUUAAACCCUUGCAUGCAGGUGAAAUGUUUAGCUUUGGCUAUUCACAUACACCUCCUUAUAUUACAUACAGAGUUAUCUCGAAGGAUGGUUUCAUGCAUGAGCCAGUGCCGAUAACAAUUUCAGAUCCUAUCAUGAUGCAUGAUUUUGCCAUUACCGAGAAUUAUGCAAUUUUCAUGGAUCUUCCUUUGUAUUUCAGACCAAAGGUAAGGUUAUUAUUCGAAAUUCUCACAUGGUACAGUACACCUUUGAUGUUAUGAUUGAAUUUUUCUGUAAUAAAAAAUUUCUAAAAAUUGUUAUUCUAAAUUAACAAAAAAUCAUCACAGAGAAGAUAAGAACAUUGGAAUAUGCUCAUUGAGUGUGGUUUUUCAAAAGGUGCACAAAUCUGCAUAGUUAAGACUUGUAUGAGCCAAAAUGAAACUGGGUCUGCAGUUGGCUGUAUUGAAUUGGAAUUGCUUUUGUAUAUUUGAGAUAUAUGGAAUUCAAAUUCCUUUCUGAAUCCUUUGGUUUUUGAAGACCUUCAUUCCGUUCUUAGGCCUCAAUUCAUUCAAACAAACAGGGGUUUGUUGUAGUCAAGGUAUACAGUGUGAACAGUGACUUGCUACACUUGUGUGAGUACUUGCUAGGGCAAUGUUGUAUAUUUAUGCUACAAUAGUACCAAUGCUGCCUGCAUUAAACAUAAAAAAAGUGUAAAUAAAUAAAAUUCAACUAAGGAACCAAAAUAAACUUCUGAGCACAUUUAUGUGGCUAGGAAAUCAGGGCUAGCAUGUCUGACCUGAGAUGAAUAUGGAACUGAAGUGUUAAAAUAUGUGUCCAGUUACUCCAGUUAUCUGAAGCUGGUGGAGAGGAGUGGGGGCUGCCCCUAAAUGUUACCCAUGCAAACUCAGAGGGCUUGUUUGUGCUUGUGAACUAAUGCACGUCUCUGAAAAUUCAACUAAAUUUCCUUUGCUUUUCCCAAUACCAAGUGGUUUUAGGUAAGAUGAUGGGGGUUUGGGGGGCAUCAGACCCAUGGUUACCCAUAGGAAAGACAAUAAUGCAAAAUCUGGAAGUAUCCUUACUAAUAGGCAGUGAAGCCCAAAGUUCAAAUCCUUGUGUAUCAAGUCUAGUUUUUGAGUUGGAGUUCAUAAACUCUUGCAGUAAUUUCCAAUCUUAAUUGAAAUUGUAUAGUGUCAAAAGUUUAAUCAAUAAUUGUAGUUUAAACUAGUGAGAUGUUGGCAUGGAUGAUUUGCUUAUGAAGAUCAAUGUGUUGCUUUUUGUAAAAAGAAAGGCUAGCGGUGGCAUUCUAUAAUAAGCAUAAUGGUUACUGUUAUGCUCUGAUUUCUGACUUCAAUCUGAUGCAUCAAACUGAUUGCAUCUCAUUCAGCUUGAUUAAUUC
rnacentral:lncRNA from 1 species